rnacentral:lncRNA from 1 species
GAGUGGUUAAAAGAUAGAACAGUCUAGCCAAGUGCCAUGUCUCUUAUUCUUGAUCAGCUAUAGCUCUGGAGUUUUUGUAGAUUUUCAAAUAAAACUCAGAGAUUCCUUUGUAUGACUCUCUCAUAUCUCUCUUUUGUGGUAUUUCUGGAUCCUUACCAAGGCAGUGAUGGUAUAUGCCUUCUCUCAAAAUAUGUGGUAUUUGUGGUAUAAGGCAUAGUGACAUUGCCUUCUCUCUCACCCUACUCUAAUAAGGCUUUAAUAUCUGGAGCUCAUAGGUGGGAGAUAAAGUAUACAUACUUACAAGACAUUUAUUGUAUAGUCAAACCAUGGAUCCAAAGAAACAAAUCAAUAAGCCAAAUCAAGAAGUGCAUGUGUGGCGAAUGUAUGGUGUAUAGUGAUGAUGGUGAUAACAAUGGUGAAAGUCUAAUUCUACUUUUGCUCUUAUGAGGGGAUACAUACCUUCCUUGCUUUUUGAAACUUUAUGAGGAGAAUGAGAUGCUCUUCUUUUUCUUUCCUCUCAGGUGGGUAUCUUGUACCCCUAAUUCUACUGUUGGACACUUGUCCAUUUUUACCUCUCGUCUCACUUUUUCUUUCUUUCGAGGUUCUGGGCACUUGCCCCUUUUUAUUUCCUCAUUUCUUUUUCUCUCUUUUUUUUUAGAUAGCAUUCAUCUCUUGAGAUAAUAUAGCAAGUGGUAGUAAUAAGAUAACUCGAUCAUUUAUUUCACAAGGGGAAAACAGAAAUAUUUUUGGUUAUUCUCUCCCGUAUUAGGAGUAGAAUGAUUUUGGGUGAAACUGGAGAUGGAAAUGGAUGGAUAUAUAUGGAUGGUACUUCCGGAGUAGAAGUAGCAUAUAUGAGUGAACGUGCAAGUGAAUCUUGAUUUAACCACAUGACAAGCUCCUAAGGGUCUACACAGCUUGACCACACUCAAUGCUCAUAAGCAGUAAAUAAAUGUGUGGCUCAAAGUCUAGCAAGCAUGUAUAUAUGGCUGUGGUAGGAAUUUAAACUUUCAUCAUACAGGAACUCACCAUGCAAUAUUUUAAAGAUUUUUCAAAGAUAAAAUUCUCCAGAAUUCUAGCAUCUCUAGGAAUAGAUAAACAGCAGCUCAACCUUCCCAUAUCAUAUCCGUUAACAACUUAGAUUUCAGAUCAAGUUUUCAUCCCACAAGUUCAGAUCUAGAGCAAGCUUUAAAUUAUAACAGUUAUGUCUAAACUAGAGAGAGAACUUCAAAUUUGCAAAUUAGGCAGAGCAACUAUUCAUCAUAUCCAUGCUAGAGUUUUAUUAUUAAGAUUCAUAGCAAACUUUAUUUAUUUAUUUAUUUAUUUAGCAAACUAAGAAAAGAUAUAUAUAUAUAUAAGCAUAAAAUCUUUAUUUGGUUUUUCAUAGUUUAUGUAUUUUAAUAUUCUACUAUAAUAUAAGUAUAAAGAUAGGUAGAAAUACUUAGCGAGAUAAAUAGGGGUGCUCUCCCCCAAGCUGAAUUUUGACGUAAUUUCUCUUGAUGUAGCUAGCAGGUGGCAGAGGUGUAUUUGAAAGUCAGCAGCAUUCUGACAGCAAUUAGAAUGUCCUCCGUCUGCUAGUCUUCUUGAUUCUUAAAUUCUGUAGAGCUUAAAUAGACAACAAAGCUUGUGGAACUAAUUAAGUGUUAGCAUAAAUAUCUAGCCUUCAUCUUCCUCAAUAAAUAUUACUCCCUGUUUUUAUAUUUUUAUUUUAUAAAGUAGAAAAGAAAUAUUUAUUUUAUUUUUAUGCCACCACAGUGAAGGUACUUAUGGGUUUUAUGCCACUCGUAUACUCAUAUGGGGCUUAGUAUUUUUUAACAUUUUUAUUUUCUUUUCAAGAUAGCAUGAUUAACUAAUAAUCUAUUUAAGGAAAGUAAAUAAUUAAAUGGAAAAGGGAAUGCAGAAAGGAUAAAUAUGGAUAACUACCAAUCUUACCUUUCGGCGAGGGUUCAAUGUUUUAAGUCUUCUUGUCAAGACUUCUCAUCGUGUUCAUUCUUCAGGUGCAUAAUUUGAUUCAGGUGCGGACCUUGACGUCUGCACCUCUUGAUACGGUGUCACCCACGUUCUUUGUGUUGCCCAGUAGUUCGAAGUGCGGUGUUGGCAGUAUCCUGCUCAGUGUGUUUGUGCUCGUAGUGUACCUGCUCAUAGAGACAAGGCAGAGAUCAAGUGCAUGGGCCCUGUUGGUGGAAAACACUAACAGAACCAAAAGUGUAUUUGUUCUUCUCUAACCUUAAGCAUAGUGAGCAAGACAAAGUUGAUGGAUGAUAAGUUCAUGAGUGUAGCACUUAUAACAUUUGUCAGAUCGCUCAACCUUAUGGAAAGAUAAUCUAUUUAUGUAUAUGUCUUUUUCUUUAUCUCUCAAUGAUUGAAUGUGUAACAUUUUAGCUCAUAUGAUUAGGAGUGUGGGAUCAUGGAGGUAGUACUAAGAACAAGGAUUAAAGGACUAAACAUGUUUGAUCAGUUGGGUUGGUUAAUCUAGAGUUGUAAAUCAUACACGUUUGUCUCUUUUAUUUAUAUGAACGCCAGAACCAAGGAGAAGCUUAUAAAAGUGAUAGUCAAGUACCUUAAGAUAUUACCUUGCUGGAAGAGUGAUGGUACAAUAUCAUCUUGUGGAAGCUUUCGUUUCUUAGCGGUUGUGCAUCGUGUUUGUGGCACCCUCCAUAGAUCAUCUCUCUAUGAUGAGUGAGCUAUGUCCUUCUUGUGCAAAUUGUUAAACUUCAUGUGUCACUCUCUUCGUCUCUGAUGUGAGUUUAUCUCAGGACUUCCCAUGUUGAUAUUGAAAGUUUUCCUGCAGGGGUUAGUCUGACAAAAUAUACCAAUAUCCACUCAUGCAGUUUUUAGCUCAAUAACCAAACUAGACUCCAUGUCUAAUCAGAUUAAGGAAGGCUAUUUAACCUAAGCACCAUGCUUAAUUUAAAUGCCAAUGGACGUAUGGCGAGUACUUCCAAACCAACACUUGCUAGUAAAUAGACAAAGGUAGCAUGACAGCGUUUAUAGAGAUCUACUCAGGUGGAGAUGAAGUAGUGUGAUUAGUAUUUAACAAAUUGAGCAUGUCUCAGAGGUAGGGACAACCAGCAUAGCAACAUGGCAAAGGAUGUUUUUAUGUAAAGUACUCCCCCAAGCUUGAAUUUUGCAAAAUUCAAGUUUGGAUGAAUUUAAUUCAAUGUUGUAUGAUGAUCGGUUAGACAUACCUUGUGCUUGUCAUUCAUCCGAUCUUCUUGCUCUAAUCCUAGAAAGGUUAGUGACAAGAAUACCCGAAGGAAUAUUUUUACAAUUAUCCUUAUAUGCUUAAUACACAAGGUAAUGUUGCAAAUAAUUAAAAGCUCAUGUUACGAUCUGAUCAAUGCUUAUUUUAAGACACUAAGCUUGUCCUUGGGAAACCAUCAGUUUAUGUUGGCGAAGUGGUUUCCCCUCCGAUGCCAACCUAUAUCUAGAUCAACUCAAUGAGACCUGCAAUAUUUAUUAUAGACAUAUGCAACGACAACCACCCUUUUAAAGUUUUUAUAAAUAGAAAGAAAGAGGGGGUUGGAGAUCUCAAGUGUGGUGAUGUCGGAGAGACCAACAGAUUGGGAAGAUGUUGCAUAUGAGCUUGGAGUAAACGAAGUGGCUAUGAAAGAAAUUCCAUGCUCAUUAAUGUUAUCUUCGUCUCUAAUCUGAAUGUUCGGAGUUUCUUGUGGAUUGGUCUCACCUAUGUCCUCUUUUGUAGUUGGAUGAAUCUCAUCUUCAAAGGGAGUCAAGAACUCACCAUUUGAAAUUGAGCCAAAGUCAGAACCUAUUAAGGCUUCUUCCUUAUCCAUCCAUUCUACACAUUCUAGCCAUUUAGAACUUGUGAUCAAAAUAGGGGAGAUGUUAGAAUUUUCUAUAUGGCUUAGCUCUCCUUCUAUGGCAUUACUUGACAUGCCAUCCUUAUGGUCUUCAUGACUCCUAUGGUUUGGUCGUCUUGGUGAAUUGCUAGGAUCAUCAUGAGACUGAAAAGAAGAGGGAUAAGAGGGAUCUCUAAGGUCAAGGAUGGAUUUAGAACUUGUGAACAUGGAAGGGGAGUAGAUAGAAUUGUCUAUAUGGCUUAGCUCUCCUUCACUUGAUAUGUCAUCCUCUACUUCUUCAUGAUAGGAACCAGGACAUUCUCUAAGAGAAACAUUAUUGUAAGGAUUUGAAUUAUCCCUGCUUGAAGGUCUAUUAUAGAACCAAAAGUCUAAUCCAUCAGCAUCUAAAAGAUUUAAGGUCGGAAUUCCUUCCUCCCUUGGAGAAUUUUGGGGUAUUGAUGGUUUAGGAUCGAUAGCUAAAGUUUGGGAUUGAAGUGGUUGUAAUCUGGCUAUCGAAACUUCUUCUUCUUGUCUAGGAACUGGUUCUUUCUCUUUCUCAGGGAUAUAAAAGCUAGGAGACUUUCCGCUCAUUAAAUCAAUCAAAUUCCAAGCUUCACUAGCGGAUAGGUGGUGGAAAGAUCCUCCAGAGGCCGCAUGAAGGGUUUGCUUAUCUUCCUUACUAAGGCCCUCAAAAAAGUGAAUUAGAAGAACUUCUUCUGGAUAGAAAGUUUUGGGCCAGUGAGAGUAAGGUUAAUAAAGCGGUCCCAUGAUUGCCAAGAGAUUCUUCUUCCAGUUGUCUAAAAGAAAGAAUCUCACGCCGAAGUUCCACCACUUUGGAGAUUGGAAAAUAUUUAGAAAGAAAACUACUAUAUAACUCCUUCCAAUCUCCAUGAACACUCCCUACUUUGAGUUUAUACCAAUGUCUAGCUUUUCCCGUUAAAGAGAACGGAAAGAGCUUCCAUUUAAGGGUCUCAUCGGACAUGCCUUCUAUGCGAAGGAGGUCACAGACUCGAUAAAACUCUCUUAGGUGUGUGUAUGGGUUUUCCUCACCUUCUCCUGAGAAAGGUUGUUUUUGAAUAAAUUCUAUGUAUUCGGGGUCUAUCUCAAAACUAGAUGCUAUGAUAGGCUUUGAAGAUUUUGGUGGUUCGAGAUGUAUGCCCAUAGGUCUAUGAAAUUCAUAGAUAGACAUGUUUGAAUUCAUAAUAGACUAGAGAUCAAGGAUUAGAUAAGAAGAAAGAAUAGCAGAGAUGAGGCAAAGGAUAAAAGGAAAAUAUUUUUUUUUGUUAUAUAUAUAUAUUUUUUUUAUAAAAUGAUUAAACUAGUUCGUAGUCAACUCAGCAACCGUUUCCCCGGCAACGGCGCCAAAAAUGCUUGUUGACACUUGCUAACACCACUUGAAUACUAGGUUGUCAUCCCCAGCAUGGCACUAGAGUGUACUAUGGUAUUUAUACGCACACAGAUAAUCCGCAAGCGCACGGAUACCGUUGAAGCUUUUACCCGGUUAAAGGUUUUAUCGUAUCCACAGGGAAACGGGAGAACUGAUCUACGCUCUAACUUAACCAAGAUAAGUAAAUAGGUGUGAAUAGGAAAGAUGAUAGAAUCAAAUAAGAACAAUAUUAAAGGUAAGAUAACAGUGAGUGAUAAUAUGGGAAUAGAGAGUAGAGCAAUUCUAGUAUAUGGGCGAUGGUAGCAGAAUAGAGAGGAUAACUAUGGUUUCUCUACUUCAAAGGGGUAUGUCUAUGUCUGGGACGAACCACGUGAUAAGAGUACACCACAAAGGAUGCUUAUCCAUAGGCCGAUAACCCUACCCGUCCUGCUAACAAGAGGUGGACUACAGGGGACCAACGUAACUGUCACCUACGCGGCCUACCACACGAUCUGGCUAGUCAGGGGAUAUCCACAAGUAAUCUAGGUCUAAGCACCACGCUUACGCCUAUACUACAACUCUAACCUAUAGGGUCCUAUAGAUUAGAAGUACUCAAAAGAGUUGUGAACCAGAACAUACAUGAUUAGUAAUUGCAUAAUGAAUUAGAAGUAGAUUACCAGAGUCAUCCCAUGAGCAAGCUUGAUUAGAGCUUGAUCAUGGCGAAGUACAACCGGAGGAAGAACCGACAGGCCGGCCUCUCCUCUAAUCCUCCUUCGCUCUCCAUCUCGCUACUAUCUAGAUCUACUCUAGUUUAGAGAAGAGAGGAGAGCUCUCAUCUCUAAACCCUAGCUUUUGCUCUGUCUAUGAAUAAUGAUCAAGGGGUGCCUCCUCCAGGGGCCAGGGGGUCUGGUUUUAUAGUCCCCUCAAGUGAACCUGGGCCGUCGGAUCAAACCGACAUUGAUUGAACGGUUAUUCUUGAUCCUUUAGGUCGGUGGAGCAUAAUCCGCGAGAUUGAGCGUGAUUGUCCACAACUCCUGGGCGGGCGCCCAAGGGGGGUGGGCGGGCGCCCUGCCCCCGGGCCCGAUUCGCCUCCGCUUCGGUCUCGUGGCUUCUGGAGUCUUUUAGAUGUAAGAUAAUUGCGCGGCACGUUAAUAUCUUUACGUAAUCCCGAUGUGUGGGCCUUUCUUCCUUAUUUCCUGAUAACCCCCUGCAGAAAUAGACAAACACCAAAACUCGUGGAAUUCUGUCAGAUAAAACCCUAAGUCUAGAUCUUGAUUUCAUUUGGAUCCUUUUCUUUGUUUAUUUGAUAAUUAAAUUUGAUACUUAAGGACCGUCAACAAUAAGGUUCUACUAUUCAAUUCAAGAGUUAAGCUCUUUGGGCAUGGUAAGCUACGAAGUAAGUGGGAUGGUCCAUACAAGGUUAUUGACACUUCAACUCAUGGAGCCAUUACCAUCCAAGACGACAUAGGUAACACUUUUAAGAUAAAUGGUCAACGCUUGAAAAUCUAUCUCGAGCCACAAAACAACCUGGUAGAGGAACUUGAUGUGAUUGUUCUAACACUCCUAGUGUUAGCUUGCAUGAUCAUCAUGAGCAUUGCAUCAACAUAAGCAUCAUCAUGAUCACUCAUGAGCAUCAUACCAUGAUCACAUGCCAUUUGCUACAUAUACUAUGUGAUUGAAUUGCUAUAUGACUUGCUAUGGUCGAUUGUAAUAGGGUGACCAAUGCAUACAAAUGUACAUUGUCUUCCAAUAUACUUUAAUCAUGUUUAGAAUAACAUUUGGAACAAAGUUUGUGUUGAGGGUUUUGUCCAAAAAUACCCCUAAGUAACGGUUAACCCUAGUUUGACCUAAUUGACCUCCUAGACCUCUUUUAAAUAUGGUUUAUGAAAAUGAUGCUAGAGACCUUGCAUGUCUAUAACACCUAAAACAAAGUUGUAGUAAAUUUCAUAGGCUACAAAAGUUAUGUUGAUGACUUUUUAUGAAAAUGCUUGGAACCUGACCAAAAGUGGCCCACAAGCCAGAAAACAGUGCUGUUUCUACACUUAGCCGAAUUUGGCUAAGUCUGGAACCCUACAGUUUCGACAUAGGGUGAUUGAGAGCUUUGUAGUUUGAAAUCCAAGCCGAACCAGACUUCGAUCCUUUAAGCAAUCUUGUAGAACUCGUGUAGCUCUAUCCAAUGGAACAAAUCUGAGCCAAAACCGUCGAGUGGAUCAAGAGUAAAACGUCGAUGAACUUUAGGUUUCAGACACGGUCGACGACGACUGAAUCGUUCGAUUCAGUUUCGUCAGUCGCCGGCCGGCCGACGCAUGGACGACCCAUGGCAGCCGUACGUCGACGGCGACCCCGCCUGUCAGCCCCGACGCCUUCACUUGGACGCCACGACGCCACCCCGAGCCUUGACCGUCCACAUUUCGCCUCCCCAGCGCUCCCUCUCUCCUCCAUUUCACCUCGGCGAGCUCCGCCGCGAACCAGCAGCCUCGCACGCGCUUCCCUCGCCGUCUCCGGCCAAGCCAGCCAGCCAAACCCUUCACCAAAGCUUCCUCUACCUCGGCGUCACCUCCUUGGCCACUGUCGAGCAUGGGUAAGGCGGCAUUGCCGAGCUCCGAGCCGUUCUUCCUCGCCGGAGUUCCGCCCGAGCUCACACCGGCGACGUAGCCAGGCCUCUCUGCUCCACCAUUUCACUCCAUUCUUGUUCCUAUCACUUUCCCUUGGCUCACUGAUGCUCGGCGUGAACCUCAACCGCGACGGCAUCGGCUGUGCACGCCGGCGUACCGCCCGCAGCGCCGCCGAGCCGCCAUUCACGCCGGCGAGCCCCCUAGAGCUUGGUAGAGUUAGGGUUUUGCACCUCGGCAAGUCCGCCUUGGUGAGAGUGUCACGUUGGUGCCCUUGGUUUCCCCAGAGACCUCGCCGUCGUUGAGUUUCGCUGGCGACGAGCUUCUCCCCUGUCUCUGUCUCUCUAUCGCGUGAGUCCCGUGUGUCAGCGGAUCCCACCUGUCAGCCUCUCUCUCUCACACCUCUGGUUUACUGUUUUGCAGAUCCUGUGUAAUUUCUAAAAUUCAUAUCUUGCGUUUUGCAGAUCCAAAUGAUGUGGUUCCAAUUUUGCUAGGUUCAUGUGGUAGUCUAGUUUUUAUUAAAAAAUAUGAAACAUGCCAUGUUUUUGAAGAAAUAAAUAUAUAUGAUUUAAUCUUGUUUAUUUAGGAGGUAAUUAUAUCUUGAGAUCUGUUGAUCUGGUGGCCAUGCGAAUUUAGGGUGUUGUCACUUAUAACAUGAAUAGGCUCUGAAAAAUUUAUCAUGAUUUUUGGAGGUCUGAUUGUGAAGUUAUAAAUAUUUCUUGUUUAAACUGGAGUUUCUUGUAGUACUUUUAAUAAAUAAAUUAUAACUUCUUUUAUGGUGAAACUUGCUGAGUGUUGUACUCACAUGUAAAUAAAGCAAGGAAAAAUCUGAAAUCUGUUGUUUGACACUUUUUGAUAGGGUUUCACAUUUAUGCCUUGCAUGCCCUUGCUAGCUUGUUAUUUUUGUAUCUCACAAUCUGUAUGAGCAAGUGCCCUGAAAAAUUUACAGUAACCUUGUGUUAGCAUAGGAAGCUUGCUGUAAUUUUCUUAGAAUUCUUGGAGCACUUGUGAUGCAUGUUCAUUAAAUCACCUUAAUAAUUAAAUAAAUGAAAAAGGUGAUAAUAGAAAUGAGUUUAGACCUUGCCAUGAUGUUUUCUGCUGUUCCUUGGACAUGUUCUAUCUACUGGUGUAUUUGGAUUGACCCUUUGAUACAUUCUUGUUAUGUGUAAAAUAUUAUUUUUGCUAUUUAUGCCUUUCCUAGAGCAAUUCUGAGUAGCUGAAACAAUUGCUUAAGAACUAAUUGAAGAUGAUGUUUUCUGGGAAACUUGUCUAUAACAAACUUGUAGCUAACCUGUGUAUCUACUACGUGUCAAAAUUUAAUGACAUUUGGUUGAGUAGUUUGAAAGUUAUGAAUGUUAGAAGUGACUGCUGCAAAGUGCUUACUCUCUGGAUUUUCCAGGACAGCCAGCCACCUUUGUAUGUUUUAGCAUAUUUCGGUUGGGAAUCAUUCUCGGAUGUGUAAAAGUGAAUUGUAGACAAUUUGCUAAGCGUUCCAGAAAGUAUAUAUUUGCUUAGUUUGGCCAACUGAUGCUUAAGUUAUAGCUGAAACUUGUGACUAGUUGGUCUGUCUAUGAAACAAGUGACCAAGUAGGAGUAGCUAAGGUUGAUUAACCUGUCUAGUUAGCCUCUCUACCAGAGAAGAAGUAUGCACUUACUUGUUAUUCUAUGAUUCACUUAAUUUUAGGAGUUUAUGCUCAUGUUUAUGCCUUGUUGUGUGUUCCUUGGCUCAGCAUCAUGACAUAUUGCAUUCUAUGUGCAUUCCCUAUGUUUAUCACCUUGUCAUGCAUACAUAGGUGUACCCAAGGGAGUGACGGUACUGGAGUACAAUCUGCCCGAGCCGGAGGAACAACAAGAGGAGCCACCUCGCGGAGCUGAGGAGGAGGACCUGCCGGAGUGUCCCGACCACCGUCCGUCCACCUACGUUGAAGGCUUGCCCCGGAGCAUUAUAAGCCUCCUACUAUUUUGUUAUCAUGUCCAGCUAUCAAUUAACUAUGGUUAUGUAUUGUUGCAUUAAGUGUUAGGUGUUGAUAUAAAACCAUUGCUGCAUAAUGAUUACCUUGUCCACCUCAUACCUCACCUAAGUAGGUCUAGGAUCGAAAUGAUGCUUAGCCAUGCUUAGCUCGGUUGAAGCCGGGUGAUUUCCUGUCACCUGCGAGAGAUAGGUGGAUGCUGAUCACGGUUGGCUAUAUUUGCUAUCGUGGAAAUAACCACGUGCUAAUAAUGAACUUGAGACCGGGGAACCCAUGCCUAUCACUUAGUUGGCUGGAUAAGUCGUUCCGACCGCGAAGCCUACGAGUGCAUCUCCGGCCGGAUACCCUGAUCUGGUUAAAGUGCGCACCCCGGUUGGUAGUAAGGAUGUGCGGGGAGUCAAUGGCGUAAGACCGAGGUGUCAGGUUAGAGUCCUGACCCUGACAGAUUAGCGGUCCCUGGGGGUGCGGCGCCAUACGGACCCGCGACUUGGUCCGGAGUUGUGCUAAAGGUGAUCUGAGCUGCCCUCAUGAAGUAUGCUCGGGUGGGUGUUAGGAAUACACCUCUAGCUGGAUAGGAAUCGAUUCGAAUCGCCGUCUCUCCCGGAUAGUGAGAACUUGACUUGGGCAGUGGCAACGUAGAUCUCACUAAAUAAACUUAAUGGUUAUGGUGAGAAUGUUGAUAGCAAAGUGAUAACCCGGAUAUGGUUAUUAAUGUGAUGCUUAAGUACUCAAGUGUGUGCUUAGAACAGGUGCUGAUCUAGUGGAUAGUUGUUAAAGUAAUGAACCUGCUGCUGAAAUACUAUAAAUAUGUUACUUAGCUUUUUAUGCAAAAGGUAAGUUAAACCAGCCCACAAAGAUAAGCCUUGCAUACUCCUUGGUGUCACUUUAUUUUGGUUUAUGACGGAUAAGUCUAGCUGAGUACAUUCUCGUACUCAGGGUUUUAUUUACCCUUGUUGCAGAUGAUGUCGUCUAUCACGGCUAUUGUGCUAACUGUCAUCAUCCGGCUGCGGACGAUGAAUAGAUCAUGGGCAUGAUCACCUUCUUUACCUUCAGUUGUGAUGUUGUUGGGAUGACUAUGGAACUGGCAUGUAAUUAAACUGUGUGUGUGAGGUUCAAAACUACUUUGCUUCCGCUACUAAACUGGUUUGUAAUAACUUUGUUUAGAACUCCGAUGUGAUGUAAAACUAUGUUCUGUGAUGAAUGUAUGUAAUCUGUGAUGGCGAUGCUUGAUCAUGUACGAUCUUGGUUGUAUGUUGGUUGAAUCGAGGUCUUUUGAGAUUUCGUCGGACUACUGGGUUUAUAUGGGUUCAAGUCCAUUGGCUUGACCGCUUUCGUGGUCGCUAAUUCACUUGAAUUCUUAUAAAUUGGACGGUUCUGUUACAAUUGAGUUCAUAGAAUUCUCACAUUAAGCUCUAAUAAGCUCUAGACAAUUACCUAACCCUUAACAUGUUCCACGAGUUUUGUUGUCUAUUUGGGUUGUGCAGGAUUUUUGAGGCUUAAGAAGAGUGAGACCGAAUAUGCAGGCCAAAAGAGUGAACGACUAUGUCAACAUCCAGCUUGAGGGAGACACCCCCACGUGUAUCUAGAUAAGUAUUACUUUUCUUUCUUGGUUUUAUUUACUAGUAUUCGGAAAUAAAUAAAAAAAUGCAUAACCAUGAAACCAAACAAAGUUUUUCUUUUGAGUACUAUACAAUAGUUUUGUGUAAUCCUAAGUUUUAAAUAAAAUUUGAUCCAAGUCUAGGUAAUUCACAAACAUGAUAUGAGAAGGUCUGAGCUACUAUUCAUCUUGUUCCAAGUUUCACUAGAGUUCUGGAGAUUUUAUCUUUUGAAAAUCUAAAAAUGAUGAGAUCGUGUUUGACAUAAUACCUAGUGUCUUAUAAGAUAUAAAUAUUAAAACUAUGGGCACUUACUUUGUUCAAGCCAUUGUUAAUUCUUGUAGUUUUGGUUGAGAGAAUUAUCAUGAUCCAAAGAUCAAGAUCUUUUGUUUUAAAAAUAUAAAAGAUUCACUCUUCCGAAGUAUUAUUGCGUUAGAGGCAUGGGAGAAAAAAAAGAGUGUGAGACAAGAGGUAAAAAUAGACAAGUGUCCGAAGUAGAAUUAGGGGUACAAAGAUACCCACCUGAGUGAAAAAAAUGGACACGUGUCCGAUAGUAGAAUUAGGGGUACUUGGUGCCCACUUGAAGAAAAAGAAAAAAAAGAAGAGAAAGAAAAAAAUGAUAGCCCAUGGUCCCUCUAAUAGGCAAUAUGCCAGUAAGAGAUGACAAACUUUUCAAAAAGGUCAAAGGUCUUGAUCUAGGAGUAUGACAUUCCUCUCCCUUGCUCCGAGCAUUGACAUAGCAAAAUGCAAAGUAUGUUAAAACUUUUAAAGCUCUACUUAUAUAUCUUUCGAGAAGAAGGCAAAUGCCUCAGUUUUAUUAUGCAGACUUACAAAAAACUCCAGAACAAAGGUAAGACAGAAGAACUUGAGACAUAGUGCUUGACUUGAUCGUUCUGUUUUUCAAUCACUUAAGACCUUAGUGAUAACUUAAAAACCCUGUAGUAAGAGGCAUAAAAGUAUCCCCUGUUUUCUUGCUGAUUUUAGCUUUACUCAGGGACGAGCAAAGGUUAAGCUUGGGGGAGCUUGUUGACGGUCCUUAAUGCUCACAUUUAACCAUCAACUAAUCAUGGAAAAGGGCUUAAAUGCAACCAACACCUAGACUUAGGGUUUUAUCUGACAGAAUUCCAUGAGUUUUGGUGUUUGUCUAUUUCUGCAGGGGGUUAUCAGGAAAUACGAAAGAAAGGCCCACGCGUCGGGAUUACAUAUAGAUAUUAACGUGCCGUGCAAUUAUCUUACAUCUAGAAGACUCCAGAAGCCACAGGAAGGAAGCGGAAGCCGAACGGAGCCAGGCACUGGGCGCCCGCCCAGUUGACCUGGGCGCCCGCCCCCUGUUAGACUCUAAAUAGGAAUCUCUUUCGGGAAAGAUCUCCACCUACCUAAAGGAUCAAGGAUAACCAUUCAAUCAAUGUCGGUUUGAUCCAACGGCCCAUAUUCACUUGGGAGGACUAUAAAACCAGACCCCCUGGCCCCUGGAGAUCAUACCUCUUCUACAGAAUCAAAGCUAGGGUUUUAAUUCUUCAUCCAAGUAGAGAGGAUCCCUCUAGUUUUUCUAGUUCUACCUCUAGUUCAUCUAGUUCUAGUUCAUCUAGUUCUAGUUCUAGUUCCUCUAGUUCUAGUUCUAGUUAGUUCUAGUUGUAAUCUAGAAAAUAGGGAGAGAGAAGAGGAGAGCGGAGGAGGAGGAGCCGGAUCUGUCGGAUCUUCCUCAACAUUGUACUUUUGCAGCAACUGGUUCGUUCUUCAUCAUUCUCUAGGUUCUUCAAUUCAUAAUCCUGAGUUCUUUAAUUACUUUUAUUUACAUUCAAGUUAUUUAUUGGAUUCCCGAUUGCAUCAAGUGCUCUAAUCUUUGCAACAUUAGAGUAUUAAUUAAUAGAUUAGACGUGGUGUUUAGUCUUGCAAUUACCUGGAAUUGCACCCAAUCCUGCGGAAUGUUGUGGUAGCCCUAGGGUAGUGACAGCCCUAACGGUCGAUGUAUUCCACCUCGUUCGAAUCGGUGUUUGUAGGACCGUAGUCAGAGCUUCCUAGCCCCCUUCUCAUCUCUUUCUGUGGUUAGUGUUCUGAUGUCCCGAAAUAAAUAAUCUUUGAAGUAAUUCUUGAUUCUUAGAUCAACUAGAGAACUGUCAGGAAACUUCCUCUCUUCCCACCAAAAAUAAUUAUAUAGUUAUCCUUGGGCGAUCUUGAAUCUUAAUUAGUACACUCACAUUCCCUGUGGAAAAUCGAUACUCUAGAAUACUCUCGGGUGAAAUCUACAUCGGUAUCCGUGCGCUUGCGGAUUUUUCUGUUUGUAUUUAAAAUACCCAACAGCCACCCACUUGCGAACCCAGUGUACACCCAGGAACACUCCCUGGCCCUCUGAAUCGCCCGGACUUCCUCUUCUUCCCCAACUCUGGCCAACUUCCGCCACGAGCCCCCUUCCUCGUGGCCAGGCCAUUCCGCAAGGUAUCAAGCUGAGGUGAUAGAUGUUAGAGCUUCACCGUGUUGUCCCGUAGCUCAUGCGCUCGCUUCGUGGUCUUACGCACACGCAGGUCCACCGGAAUGAUGUUGCCAAGCCGGAGUGCUCGCGCAAAGAAGCCGUCACCGUCGCCAGCAACCUCUGCUACCUCACCGACCUCGGUGAUGUGAGCAUCGCACUCCUUAUCCCUUGUAGAAGCUCUCUAGCGCGUCAGCUCACGCUCUACUGAGCUCUCGUAGCCGGUCUACGUGCGGCCAGUGCCGCCGUCCGCCAUGUGUGUGGCCAAGGUAGGGAGAGGGGGUAGCAUGCCCGUAGGCAGGGUCAACGGGGUCGCGAAGGAGAGGCGAAGUCGCUGUGCUUCGUCGCGAGGGCUGGAACCCCGCCAGCGGCGGCCGGGAGGACAACCGAGCCGCCGGCAAGGUGAGGGACGAUGCUGACAGCGGGGGCCCGCUGUCAGCGACGUCGUGAGGAGGGGGGGGAAGGCGCGCGUAGUGCGUUGGCCGAGCAGAUGGGCCGGCCUGCGGGCCAAGCUGCUGGACCCCCCGCGGCACAGUGCCGUUUUUCUUUUUCCUUUUUGUGCAAAUUUAAAUUAUGUUUGAUUUUGUGUAGAAAAUUAUGUGCAGAUCCAAAAAUAGUGAAAAUAUUUGGGUAUGUUCUAUGCAGCGGGUAGAACAUAGAAAAAAUGUUAUAUUCCAUAUUCUGAUAAUUUGAGCAUGUAUAAAAAUUAUACCUUUUAUUUAGUAAAUAAACAUUCCUUGAAUUUUAAGAAUUUAUUACUAUGUCCAAAAAUCACCAAAAUUUGUGAGAUGUCUCUGAAUAUUAUUCCCUAGCCUCACACAAAAUUUGGUGGCAUUUGGAUAAUAUUUGAACAAAAUAUUAAUAUAUCUUUAAUUAGUAAUUUAGUAGUAAUCCUAAAAUAUUAGAUAAUAAUUAAUUUAAUUUUCCAAAUUAAUAGUUGAGUGAUUUUGGAAUUGGGUGAUGACCUAAGGUCAUUAAUCUUAAUGACCUUUGGUAUUUAAUUAUUGUUUGGUGUUAAUACUUAAUUACUGUCAUUAAUACUUAAUCAAGAAUAAUUAAGAUAAAAGGGAUUAAUAAUUAGUUGAUUAAGAAUGAUUGCAAAUUAAGAAAGGUCUUAGCUUACUGAUGCAACCUCUUGGGUAAAAACACUAAUGUGGUAAACAACCUUUAAUUAUUGUUUUAGCUUGCAUUUGUACCGAGAAGGAAAGUUGUACUCAACCAAAUCCUUCGUAUAUGUCAUAAGCGUGUCAUGAGUGUACAUCAUUUUGCGUAUAGUGCACGUGACCGAAGGAGCGACCGUUGAACCAAACCCCGAAGUCGGUGUUCUGUUCAAGGAAGUAGGAUCCGAGACUUAGGAAGUCUCCGAGGAACCCACUCAGCUCUGCAAUGAAGGCAAGCCCCGGAUGCAUUAACCCUUCCUUGAAUGUUUUAACUAUUUUAUCACUUAUGAAUUGAAAUUGCUGCAUUACAUAGUUAAGAAUUGGGUUCAACCUAUCUGUUGCAUUUACUACCUUGAUGUUUGUUAUCCUAUCCUUGGCACCUAUUUUAUUUCAAAUCUGCAUAGUAAUUCUUAGCCCUGCUUAUUAGAUAGGCUUUCAACUAAGAAAGUUUGAAUGGUUGUUGUGGAAUACUUUUAUGGUCAAUGAUGUUUCAACUUGAGACCGGUCGGUGGACUUGCUCUAAGAAUGGAGUUUUAAAGUGGUGUCUCCAACUGUGUCGAUUAAGGACCGGUCCGUUGAUGUCCUGCUGGGUUGAGAAUUUAUAGUACUAGGCACUUGCCCUCGUAAAGCACGGUCUUGUGAUUCCUCAAUGAGAGCGGCUACUGUUGACGGUCCUUAAUGCUCACAUUUAACCAUCAACUAAUCAUGGAAAAGGAUCCAAAUACAACCAACACCAGACUUAGGGUUUUAUCUGACAGAAUUCCAUGAGUUUUGGUGUUUGUCUAUUUUUGCAGGGGGUUAUCAGGAAAUGUGGAGGAAAGGCCCACACGUCAGGUUUACAUAGAGAUAUUAAUGUGUGCGCCAAUUUUCUAUCAUCUAGAAGACUCCAAAAGCCACGAGAAUGAACGGGAGGCCGAUCGGGCCCGGGGGCAGGGCGUCCGCCCAGCUACAGGAGCCAAUCAGGCUCCGCCUCGUGGAUCAUGCUCCACUGACCUAAAGGAUUAAGCAAAACCAUGUGAUUAAGGUCGGUUUGAUCCGACGGUCCACAUUCAUUUGGAAGGGCUAUAUAAGCAGGCCCCCAGGGCCCCGGAGAACAUACCUCUUCUACAGAAUCAAAGCUAGGAUUUCAAUUAUUCAUCCAAGUAGAGAGGAUCCCUCUAGUUCAUCUAGUUCUAGUUAGUUCUAGUUGUAAUCAAGAAAAUAGGGAGAGAGAAGAGGAGAGCGGAGGAGGAGCCAGAUCUGUCGGAUCUUCCUCAACAUUAUAGUUUUGCUGCAACUGGUUCGCUCUUCAUCGUUCUCCAAGUUCUUCAAUUCAUAAUUCUUGAGUUCUUUAAUUACUUUUAUUUACAUUCAAGUUAUUUACUGGAUUCUCGCUUGGAUCAAGUGCUCUAGUCUUUAUAACGCUAGAGUAGUAAUUAAUAGAUUAGAUGUGGUGUUUAGUCUUGCAAUUACCUGGAAUUGCACCCAAUCCUGCAGAUUGUUGUGGUAGCCCUAGGGUAGUGACAGCCCUAACGGUUGAUGUAUCCCACCUCGUUCGGAUCGGUGUUUGUAGGACCGUAGUCAGAGCUUCCUAACCCCCUUCUCAUCUCUUUCUCUGGUUAGUGUUCUGAUGUCCCGAAAUAAAUAAUCUUUGAAGUAAUUCUUGAUUCUUAGAUCAACUAGAGAACUCUCAGGAAACUUCGUCUCUUCCCACCAAAAAUAAUUAUAUAGUUAUCCUUGGGCGAUCUUGAAUCUUAAUUAGUACACUCACGUUCCCUGUGGAAAAUCGAUACUCUAGAAUACUCCCGGGUGAAAGCUACAUCGGUAUCCGUGCGCUUGCGGAUUCUUCUGUUUGCGUUUAAAAUACCCAACUGCUACUCACGCACUGGGCAUACUCACGUUCCCUGUGGAAAAUCGAUACUCUAGAAUACUCCCGGGUGAAAGCUACAUCGGUAUCCGUGCGCUUGCGGAUUCUUCUGUUUGCGUUUAAAAUACCCAACUGCUACUCACGCACUGGGCAUGGAGCGAUGGCGAGAGUAGCGUGUACCCUCCUGGCAAAUGGGCUGGACAGUGGAGUACCGUGCUCUCGGGUGUCGCGAACCCAGUCAGAUCUUGGGAAAGCUAGAUUUGGGUUGACAUAUGCAAGAUUUGGUUCUACAUAGGUCAGGUGGUUAGGAACUCCAGCUGGAUUGCUAAGCGGUUCGAAUCGUCGUUGCUCCCCAAUUGGGAGACUCAAUCCACUAACCCCCAUCAUAGUUAAAUAUGCAACUAAGGUAUAAACUACGGAAAAAUAAAAUGUCUCAUGAAGUUCGGAUCCCGAUUCCCCGACUCAGAGUGACAUGAAGCUAUGGCCAUCGGAUGAACAACAUUGUCAUUAAGGACUAGGAAUUUACAGACUUGUCUGUAAAAAGCAACUAGAUAGACUGUCCUCGAAUUCCUUGGCCUCUCGAGGUGAGCAAUUCGUGGUUAAAACUUGAAAGUAAGGAUGCACUAUUAGUAAGCUUUUAUGCAAAACAACUUAGCUCCUUGCUCAGCCACUCCUUGUCUACCCUAAGCCUGCAUUCCUAAUUUCUCCCUUUUUCUACCAGGUAAGUCUUGUUGAGUACCCUAGUACUCAGGGUUUAUAACCCCUGUUGCAGGUGAAGUUCAGGAGCCGACUUGUUUCGGACCCUGUUGUGUGACUGUCUUCGAGGUUUACGACGAGGAGGAAUAAGCAUGACCUGUGGGCAUGGUCUGUAAACUUGUAAUCUUUGUAAUUUGGUUAAAGUUGCUCCAUUGGACCUGGCCUAUAAUAACUAUUUGUCUAAGUCCUCCUUUGAAGAACUACUUUGUAAAUUAAGUUAUAUAAUGCUUCCGCCGUUUUACUCUGAAAUGCUAGUUUGGUUACAUCCUGUUUGUGAUACUACAAUGUCUUCGCAAUGAAUGAUCCUGGUGUUAAUAUGGUCACUUGCUAUCCUGUAAGGGUGAGAAGAAGAAAUUUUUGUUAAUUGACCAUUGCUACUGGUCACGACGAAUCCUGUUGUUACGCCACAGGUAGUAGUGGAGUGGGUGUCCUGGGACACUCAUCGGACUUCUGGAGUAGAUGUGUAACAGAACCGUCCAAUUUAUAAGAACUCAAGUGAAUUAGCGACCACAAAAGCAGUCAAGCCAAUAGACUUGAAUCCAUAUAAACCCGGUAGUCCGACGAAAUCUCAAAAGACCUCGAUUCAACCAACCAUACAACCAAGAUCGUACAUGACCAAGCAUCACCAUCACAGAUUACAACAUUCAACACAGAACAUAGUUUUACAUCACAUCAGAGUUUAAAGGAGGUUAUUACAAACCAUAGCAGUAGCGGAAACAAAGUAGUUUUGAAGCAACAUCAUCUCAGUUUAUAAUACAUGCCAGUUCCAUGGUCAAGUCCCAACAAAAGCACAACUGAAGAUAAAGGAGUGAUCACGCCCAUGAUCUAUUCAUCAUCCGCAGCUGGGUGAUGACAGUUAGCGCAAUAGUCGUGAUAGACGACAUCAUCUGCAACAGGGGUAAAUAAAACCUUGAGUACGAGAAUGUACUCAGCUAGACUUACCCGUCAUAAACCAGAAAUAAAGUGACACCAAGGAGUAUGCAAGGCUGACCUUUGUGGGCUGGUUUGACUCACCUUUUUGCAUAAAAGCCUUUGUUGUAGGUAAUUUGUUUAUCAUAUUCCAGCAGCAAGUUCAUUAAUUAACAACUAUCCACUAGAUUAGCACCUGUUCUAAGCAUACACUUGAGAAAUUAAGCAUUUCAAUAAUAACCAUAUCAAGAUUAUCACUUUGCCAUCAACAUUCUCAUCAUAACCAUCAAGUUUAUUUAGUGAAUUCUACGUUGCCGCUGCCCAAGUCAAGUUCUCACUAUCCGGGAGAGACGGCGAUUCUGAUGAGGACAUCCCAACCAAGCAUGCUCCCUCUAAUUCCAUGCCAACCUCUACACCGACUACGCCGGCACCAGCCCAAGCCAUUGAUAGAGCAAUUACACGUAGCCGAGCCAAGAAGCUACAACAAGAGGUGAACGCGCUACUUUGUGAGAGUUCUAUUAAUGUUAAUGAGAAUAUUAUACUACCUAAGUGUUCUACUUUGGUUGUGCUUAGGUAUACAUAUGAGGAGGGAGGUGACCUGGAUCGCAAGGAUUGGAACAACAUGGUGAAGAACGGACCAGUUGAAAGAAGGGCAGAUCGGACCAGUACGGUGCAGAACGGACUAGUUGAAAGAAAAGAUCAUAACUUUCACUUUCGAGAUGCUAUGAAGGCCCAUGACCACUUGUUGGAAAGCUCUUCGAGUCUACUUUCCAAUGAAUCUAGUGGAGACCAGUUUGGAUACUCCAUACUGCCUGCAGACCAGAAUUAGUAUAGACUGCUCAGAAGGUCAAUAGUCUAUCGUGACAGAAUGUUGGUACAACUUGCCAAGUAAAACUGUACCAAUAUACAGAGUUUCGUGGUGCAUGGCAUACGUUGCUGGAAAGCUCUUGGAGUCUAGUUUCACACCCAAGAAACGGUUCAUCAUUUGGACUUUCCAAUAAAAAGUUAUCGUCAGUUUAUUGAAAACUGCUCUGGAGGCCAACAGUCACGCGAAGCCAAUUCGGGAAUCCAUUUCGAGGGGACCUUUCACAUUGCCUUCCCUCAGAAACUCUAUUUCGUUUUUAUACCUAUCUAGCAGGGCUGUUGCUAGUAUAAAUACCCCCUAAGACUCAUUGUAAUCCAAGACUUAUGAUAUUGAGAAUACAAACCACUUUGUUCAGCUGUGUGCUAACAACUUCAGAGAGAGAUCUCUACCCCUUUGCUCUUGUGUUUUCCUUCGCGGAGAUUACAGAAGCGGCCGCGUCAUCAGCACCCAAUCCGUGCUCCUGAUCCUCGAGUUCAGGUUGCGUAGGUUGGUUCUUUGAGAGUGUGGUUGGGCGAAUCCUAGCUUCAGUCUGCCGUAUAGAGACGGUGGUUGGCUCCUUGUGCGUGUCGUCAGGUUGCAAUAGUUAUCCUCGCUGCUUGCAGCAAGUUAUCGGCUGAUCUUCAGCUAGUUAUCCUACGUCGUGAAGAUCGGGACAGCGACCUCACCAUCUGGUAUCAAAGCUCAAGUUUCCACGGUAGGAUUUUUACCCUUAGCUACAUAUAUAUAUCUUGUUCGUCCUAUCCACCAAAAAGCCAUAAAAAAAAUUUGCAUUAGCCCUUUGUUUCAGUCUGUUUUUCUUGUGAGUUUGGUUAAGUUUCAGUCCAUUAGAGUUUUGUUUAGUUGCUGAUCAUCAUAUCCUUUGUGUGUCCUUUGUGCCUCUUUUAUAUCUACAAAUCCCUAAAGAAAAUCUGAAACCAGUAUCAUCCUUCGCGUAAACUUUGAGCCUAUCAAGUUAGAACGCUGACGGUUGUGUCUUGUUUCAAAAAAAAGUGUGUGUAAGUGUUAUAUUUGUUCUUGUUCUUAGUUAUAAAAAAAAAGUAACAAAAAAAAGGAAAGUGAAAAAAAAGAGUUGAGGAAGAAAAGUUGUGAAGAAAGAGUAGAAAAUUCACUCUGUUUAUGUGCUCAAGUUCUGAAUUUUAUAUCAAGUCACACAAUCAGUCAUUAUCCAUCUUUGGUGCAAAAUUUUGCUUGGGUUUGAUUGCAACACUUGCAUCCUAGGCAUACUCCUUGUUUGCAUCAAAUCUGAAUUAUCUUUGCGCGUGUGUUUGAUCUAUUUACAUCACUCAUAUCUUGUGGUCAGCACUAGGCAUUGAACUUCUAGUUUGGAUUGUGGUUUAACUUUACAAUAUCAAGAAUUCAGAUUGCAUUCCUUGAGAAAUAUAUCCCCACCAAGCUCCACAAAUAACCCACCGUCAUAGGAAAAUACUGUUCUUGGAUUCUCCCAACCAUCAUUCUCGGUUACCACCUCGCAUUGGCCGUUGUAAUCUGCGGGGAACUCACAUGAGCUUCGGUUGGUAAGAGAGGUGAGAUUGUGAGAUUCCACAUAUAAUUCCCUAUUCUACAUAUAUUGUUGCUUUGCCUUCACUAAUUUUUUACAGCAAGAUGGCUGAGCAUCCGGAGAUUAAUGAUUGUGUCACCAUGGCAGCAUUCGAUGAGAUGAAACAAAACAUGGAGACGCUAACAAACAAUGUUCAAGCACUCAUGAACCGGUUGCAAAUUCAUCCUCAUGAUAAUGCAAAUGGCAGUCACCAUGAAGAUGAAGAUGAAGAAAGCGAAGGAGAAGCUGCUCGUCGUGCAAGGGAACGGCGUAGAGAGGGAGCUCCUGCCAAUGCAAGAAGACCUCCUUUUCCACGACGUGAUCAUGGUGGUAGAGGUGCUGGUCAUGGACAUGGGAGAGGUAUUGGAUUGGAAGAAAGUGAAACUGAGGAAGAGGAUGAAGAAGAAGAGGAUGAACAGCCCCAUUAUGAUGAUCGUCGUCACCGAAGAAAUCGUAGGCGUAAUCAGCACAAUGAAGAGAUGUUUGGAAAGUUAAAAUUCACCAUGCCCCAGUUUGAAGGAGGAUCUGAUCUUGAAGCAUAUCUUACAUGGGAGUUGAAGGUGGAUAAAGUUUUUCGUGUUCAUAAUUAUUCUGAGGGAAAGAAGGUUGCCAUGGCUGCUCUUGAGUUCGAUGGGUAUGCUCUAAUCUGGUGGGAGCAAAUAUUGAAUGAAAGAGAAGAAGCUGGUCAAGGUGAUGUUCGUUUAUGGGCUGAAAUGAAGAGAGAAUUGAGAGCAAGAUUUGUCCCCAAACAUUAUCGCCGUGAUUUAUUUGACAAGCUACAAAAUCUGAAGCAAGGAAGCCUCAGUGUUGAUGAGUAUUAUAAAGAGAUGGAGAAGGCGAUGAUUAGAGCCAAUGUAAUUGAAGAUGAAGAGCAAACAAUUGCAAGAUUUAUGUCAGGGCUGCAUCGGAAUAUUCAGCGCAUUGUUGAAUUUCAGCAAUAUCGUAAUCUUGUUGAAUUGGUGCAUCAAGCUAGCAAAGCUGAGCGGCAAUCGCAGCAGGAUAUGAAGUCCACUAGAGGAGUAUCUUUCAGCACAAAGAGUGCAGCAAGUGGAAGUAAAUUUGCACCCAAAGGAAGUGGAAGUAAAGGUACAUUUUCCAGCUCAAACGGUGGUGCACGAUCUAGCAACCUUGGUUCUUCUAGUAGCAAAGAGUUGGCUGCUCAAAAUGAGAAAUUCAAAUCAGCAAACUCAGUGGGUUCUUCCAGCAAGAGUAGUGGAAUUUAGUGCUUCAAGUGUGGUGGUCGUGGUCAUGUUGCAAGAGAGUGUCCAAACGCUAGAACCAUCACUGUGAAUGAUCAAGGGGAGUAUGAAUCUGCUAGUGAGGAAGAACAAGAAGAUAGUGGAAGUGAGAGUAAUCUUGAGAAGGACAUCUGUGAAUUUGAAUCUGGUGCUGCUCUUGUUGUAACUCAGAUUUUGAGUGUACAAAUGAGCGAUGCUGAAAAUGGACAGCGACACAUUCUUUUUUCAGACUAGAGCUAAAGUGCAAGAUAAGGUUGUCAAAGUGAUCAUUGAUGGUGGCAGUUGCCACAAUCUUGCAAGCAAAGAAAUGGUUGAAAAGCUUGGGUUGAAGCUGCUGAAACAUCCCCAUCCAUAUCAUGUGCAAUGGCUUAAUAAUUCAAGUUCUAUUAAGAUUGCACAAAGAGUGAAAGUUCCAUUCAAGAUUGGUGAAUAUAUUGACACUGUAGAGUGUGAUGUGGCGCCUAUGACAGUGUGCCACAUGCUGUUGGGAAGACCAUGGCAAUAUGAUCGAUCGUCUCUACAUUGUGGUAGAACCAAUCAAUACACCAUCAAGUGGAAGAACAAGGAGUUGAUUCUUAAACCCAUGACACCGCAGCAAAUCCUAGCUGAGCACUUGCAAAAGAGCUCCGAAGUGAGGAAUGAGAGUGCAAAAGAAGGAGAGAAAAAUAAUUUGAGUGCCCUCCACAAAUCAGUGAGUGAGAGCCAUAAGCCAAACAUGAGAGAUGACAAAAAAAGAGAGGGAGAGAACUUCGUGAUGAUAGCCACCAAAUCUGAACUAAGAGAUGUGAGGAAAAACCCAGAUCAAGUACUAUUUGUACUUGUGUGCAAGGACACAUUGCUUUCAGCUAAUGACUUAACAUCUGUCCCUAGUGCUGUUGCACGUGUUUUGCAGGACUAUGACGAUGUUUUUCCAAAGGAAACACCUGCAUUUCAGACUUAUCUCUCUGCCGCAUCUAUAAAAUUCGAGGUUGUUCAAAUGGAUAUGGUAACUAUUUGCAUGACAAUCAAGGGAUUGUGUAGGUGAUUUGAUGGCAAGUAAUCAUGACCUUGAGGAUAUUUCACUGUGCACAAUAUUUUAAUCAACCAUCGGCAGCGUAUCUUGAUAUCAAGUUUUUGCCGAUGGGCGGUUUUCCCUAUGACUUGGCGUCGAUCGAGGUAGAGGUGGUUGAGAGAUGUGUGAUCUUUACUGAGAUAUGAAAAUCAAGGCUGGGUUUGUUUAGAUUUGGUAACAAAUUUUUGUCAAGAAGAAGAUAAUUAUGUAAAGACAAUCAUUAUCUGGAGAGAAUUUCGGAGCAUUAAUGAUUUUAUACUCAGAAAUUAGGGGGCAUGUGUUGACACUAUUUUUGGAAUGGGUCAAGAUAAUUAAGGCAGACCGAUCAGCAAUAGAAAGGUUAUUGUAUUACAGCAGAAGGAUGCCGAUGAAGAUCAACCGAUAAAGAUGGUGCCGAUGAUAGGAGAUGAUCGGUAGAAAGAUUCUACUGAUUCAGGUUCGGUAUAAGGUCGAAAGUGGUGUUUGCUGGAUUGUUGCCGAUAAGACUUAUGGUUACCGAUGCCGAUGGAGGAGGACGUGAAGACUACUGCUGGAAGGGUGUAUAUGUGCCGAUGGGGCAGGAGCCGAUGAAGACUUUAUCGUUGUUGGCGCUUCUUAGCGACAGAAGAGAAAUCCGCAAGAGCAUGGAAGUACCGUUGUAGCACUUCACCCGGAAGUAUUUAGGGUUUCAUAUUUAUCCACAGGGAAUGGCAAAACGUCACAUAGACUCUAAACUAAUCACCCUAGAAGAUAGAAGGGAGGAGAACACGGCUAAGAGGAUACACUAAAGUGAUGAACCACUAAGUGGAAAGACCUUCCCACUACUUGCUUGCUUUAGGCCCAUUGAGAGUCCUAGGUAACUAGGCGAUCCCAGUAUGAGCACUACGCUACGACAGAUCAUGGAGGAUUACAAUGGAUGCCAGAUGCUGUCACUACACUAACACCUACCACUCUGCCCAAAAGCCGUACCACAUAUGAAGGUAGCCCACAACUUAGACACCAUGUCUACGAAGGUGACUACUGCUCUAGCGAUGCGUAGGAUUAUCCAUCUCUAUCAGGAGUCCUCUUACUAGAGCACCCGUUCUAAGAACGAGCGACGAUCCCACAAGCAAAUAUCUUUAUGAAAGUAAUUCACUUAAUGAAUCAAAACUGAAAUGUAACACAAACCUCGUACUUCAAGUAGUAAGAACGAAUGUAGAGGUUCAAGAAGGAGCGAGAGCCGAUUGGUCCGGCACUUGGUCCACCGUAGAGUAGAACUUGCUUCGACCCCGCUUCUACACUUCAUCUCUUGCCUCUCUCUCUAGCCUAAGUCUAGAAUAGCUGGAGCUAAACUAAUAAAGCACCACUCCUUCUAUUUUCUUCUAUCUUCAUAUAUUUAAAUGGAGGAGAGGGGGUCUCAAUUUAUAGCUCCAUAAGAUGGUUCGGGGCGAUCUAAAUUUGGUUGUAGGUGAAACCGUCCUAUGCAUGCUGCCAUGAAAUCGCUUGAAAAAGGUGGGACCGAAUUGCCGCCACGGGGGGUGUGCCCGCACCAGGGUGCGACCGCACCACUAGUGGGCCCCCCUGGCCACCGCCUUCUCGUGGUCGGUUCGUCUCUAGGGCCUGAUUCUUCUUGUGGUUAUAGAUGGAUCCAGUUCGGUGUUUUGGUGGGCUUUUCCAUUUAAUCUUCAUUUGCGCCUUUUCUGAAAAUGCUUUCUUGAAGUGCGCUUUCUCGUGUCUUUUGCGCCUUUCCACGUGUCAUACCUGAAAUUGAUAUUUACAACAAAGCUUGUGGAAAGGUUAGAUAAAAGCCCUAUCAUCUAUUUAUUUUAUUUAUAAAAAUUAUGUUUAUAAUUAUAAGACAAGAAGUGCCAACAAACUCCCCCACACUUGGUCCUUUGCUCGUCCUCGAGUAAAGUGCUAUGGACCAAAUGGGUUCAUCAUCCUUGUCAAAGAAAUUUGCAUACAAGUUUUUUCAAGCUUCACCCGGAUUUAUGAACUUCAAAGUGUCUACCAAAUCAUCUUGGGUAAUUGAAAGAUGGAACAGCUUGAAUUCAAAUCUACUUGCACAGUCCCUACGCAGAAACUUGUGGUUUUGCAAAUUUUUGAAAAGAAAGAAAGAGUAUGUUCCUUGAAUGACUCUUCUCAAGUCGCUCAAAUUUUGUAAGUGGUUCCUCACCAAGGCAUAAGGAUUUGAUGCCUUCUCCUUGAUCAUCCUACCUCUAAAGGCUUAUCUGGUGUUUUGGGUAGGUAUGGUAAUAGUGGAAUCAUACUUACCCUGCAUAUAUUGUCGUGUCAAACCUAGGACCAUACUGGAGGGAGUGCGCCAUACCCUUAGAUCAGAAUGUGCAUCUGUGUGGGAUUUUUGGUGGAAGUCCUAAUUCUAAAUAUUCUGGGUCACUCCUUGCAACAUGAAUCUCUUUUAUUUGAAUGAUAUGAGGAACUGAGAAGGAAAUAGGUGAUAAAUUUUUUUUGAACGGGUAUGGAUUUGCCCCGUUUGCCUUUUGGCUUGUCAUAUAUUUUUUUCUUCUUUUUUUCGAAUAGCCCAUUCCUUUAUUGCUGAUGAAAGAACACGUGGAAGAGAGCUUCAUAGUAAUGAAUGAAAGGAAUGUAACUGGAUGCGCAAUUCUCAGGUUGAGAUAUUGGCAUUUUUAUUUGGUGGAUAUAUGGGCGCAACUCUAGUGUAAGAGUUGGCGUAUUUUUGGGUGGAUGGAAAAAAACAUGUUGUACGCAACUUCUUAGUGUGAGAGAUGGCUUUAUUUGGUGGGUUCAAGUGAAUUCCGAUCUUGGAGGCAUGAAACAUCUCUCGACAGCGGUCCAAAAAUUUGACCAAACUCAACACAGAGUAAGCAGCAUAUGUAGAAGGUUCAUCAUAAAGAGAUAUAUUUGGCCAUUGGUAGGUAAAAGCUUAAUCAUUCAAGGAAUUUGCUAUAUGAAUUUUUAACUUUGUAAAAUAAAAAACCAAGUACUUUGCAAAGACUAGCAAGCAUCAUAUCAUCCUACUGUAUCACAUCCGUCAAUUACUUAGAUAAAAUGGGGUCUCUAACAAAGUGUUCAUAAAUUCACAGGAAUUUUAGCGAGAAAUAAAAGGGAUGCAAAACAUUUUGAACGAAGGAGACAAGUUGAUGGAGAAUGAAGGUACAAUAUUUAAACUUUUAUUUAUAAAACUUUUUUUUAAAAUUUAAAUGAGGGGAGCAUUUAUACAAACUGAGUUUUCAUGAUGAUGUGCUUCUCCCCCACACUUGUUUUCUUUCCUGUCUUUGAUUAGUCACAGAAAAAUAUAUACAUUCCAGAAAACAAGUGCUCAAAAGAAAAGAUAUUUUCAUUGAUAAUUUAGAUAGGCACAAUCACAUCAAAAGGGAAAAUGGUUGAAAAAGGGAAAGCGUGCCUAUUUUAUUUGUAGGGGGUUCUUACAAACUUUUAAGAACAUGCUCCACCCCUGCUGCCUUAGAGAUCCUAUGCAGCUGACCGCCAUAGCCGCAGCGCAUCUCAUCUAAUUCGUCCUUAAGUCCUUUGACACUAAGACGAGCCUUGGCUAUGUGAUCAUGAGCUCUCUCUGCACUAGUGUGGGUGCUCCUAUUGCUUGCACAGAGUGGGGUGAUGGUUGGCCCUUUGGGCAGCUGCUCAACCUCACUAUUGCUAAAGAAACCUUUAGGAUAUCCCCUGAUGACAGUCCUAAUGAACUUGUGUUUAGCGCCUAACGUUUCUGCUAAGGGCAAGGCUUUGCUAGCUGAAGCUUCGUCCUUACGAAAAAGUCCCUUCGCAUACUCUCCAUCAGGUUUGUGUAUCCCUCUAAUUAAAUAUGAGCGAUUAUCAUAAACGGGAGACGACAGAGAUGGCUCUUCGCAAGACGAAGGCAUGACAGUAGCUCCCUUGCUAAGUCCACCACCACCAGUAGUCUUCUUCUUCCGUCCUAGUUUGUUGGGUAUUUUAAACGCAAACAGAAAAAUCCGCAAGCGCAUGGAUACCGAUGUAGCUUUCACCCGGGAGUAUUCCAGAGUAUCGAUUUUGCACAGAGAACGUGAGUGUACUAAUUAAGAUUCAAGAUCGCCCAAGGAUAACUAGAAAGGAUGAGGGGGUUGGAGAUCUCGAAUGUGGUGAUGUUGGAUAGACCAAUGGAUUGUGAAGAUGUUGCAUAUGAGCAUGGAGUAAAUGAAGUGGCUAUGAAAUAAAUUCCAUGCUCAUUAAUGCUUAGAGUGAAAUCCAUGUGGUACGGUGAAAAUGAUAAAGUGAGUGUGGUAAAAAAGGAAAAGAAAAAGGAUACACGGACGACUUGGUUCGAAACUAGCACAGCUACCGUUCCCCGACAACGGCGCCAGAAAGCUUGUUGGGUAUUGUAAACGCAAAAAGAAAAAUCCGCAAGCGCACGGAUACCGAUGUAGCUUUCACCCGGGAGUAUUCCAGAGUAUCGAUUUUCCACAGAGAACGUGAGUGUACUAAUUAAGAUUCAAGAUCGCCCAAGGAUAACUAUAUGAUUAUUUUUGGUGGGAAGAGAGGAGGUUUCCUGAGAGUUCUCUAGUUGAUCUAAGAAUCAAGAAUUACUUCAAGAUAAUCUAUAUCGGGACAUCAGAGCACUAACCACGGAAAGAGAUGAGAAGGGGGCUAGGAAGGUCUGACUACGGUCCUACAAACACCGAUCCGAACGUGGUGGAAUACGUCGACCGUUAGGGCUGUCACUACCCUAAGGCUACCACAACAAUCCGCAGGAUUGGGUGCAAUUCCAGGUAAUCGCAAGACUAAACACCACGUCUAAUCUAUUAAUUACUACUCUAGCGUUAUAAAGACUAGAGCACUUGAUGCAAGCGGGAAUCCAAUAAAUAACUUGAAUGUAAAUAAAAGUAAUUAGAGAACUCAGGAAUUAUGAAUUGAAGAACCUGGAGAACGAUGAAGAACGAACCAGUUGCUGCAAAAGUACAAUGUUGAGGAAGAUCUGACAGAUCCGACUCCUCCUCCGCUCUCCUCUUCUCUCUCCCUAUUUUCUAGAUUACAACUAGAACUAACUAGAACUAGAACUAGAGGAACUAGAACUAGAACUAGAUGAACUAGAACUAGAUCUAGAUGAACUAGAGGUAGAACUAGAAGAACUAGAGGGAUCCUCUCUACUUGGAUGAAGAAUUGAAACCCUAACUUUGAUUCUGUAGACGAGGUAUGAUCUCCAGGGGCCAGGGGGUCUGGUUUUAUCGUUCCUUCAAGUGAAUCUGGGCCGUCGGAUCAAACCGACAUUAAUCGCACGGUUUUCCUUGAUCCUUUAGGUCGGUGGAGCAUAAUCCGCGAAACGUGUCCUGAUUGGGCACUGUAGCUGGGCGGGCGCCCAGAAGGGUUGGGCGGGCGCCCCGCCUCCGAGCCCGAUCGCCUUCCUGUUCGGUCCCGUGGCUUCUGGAGUCUUCUAGAUGAUAGAAAAUUGUGCAGCACGUUAAUAUCUCUAUGUAAACCCGACAUGUGGGCAUUUCUUCCGUAUUUCCUGAUAACCCCCUGCAGAAAUAGACAAACACCAAAACUCGUGGAAUUCUGUCAGAUAAAACCCUAAGUCUAGGUGUUGCUUGCAUUUGGAUCCUUUUCUAUGAUUAGUUGAUGGUUAAAUGUGAGCAUUAAGGACCGUCAACAAGCUCCCCCAAGCUUAACCUUUGCUCGUCCCUGAGCAAAGAUGAACUCAAGAGUUUCUGCAGUGGUUUCAUAACUUAAAGAUACACAUGCGUUUAAACAAGAUCUCAUCUCUGGUUAGAGUAAACUGUUAAGACUUAAAACUUACUCAUUUACCUUUCACCAUGGGACUUGUAACCGUCACUUAUGUCUUGAGUAGUUAAAAGAUAGAACAGUCUAGUCAAGCACCAUGUCUCUUGUUCUUCGAUUAACUAUAGCUCUGGAGUUUUUGCAGAUUUUCAAAUAAAACUCAGAGAUUCCUUGUAUGACUUUCUCUAGUCUCUCUUUUGUGGUAUUUCUGGAUCCUUACCAAGGCAGUAAUGGUGUAUGCCUUCUCUCAAAGUAUGUGGUAUUUUUGGUAUGAGGCAUAGUGACAUUGCCUUCUCUCUCACCCUACUCUAAUAAGGCUUUUGAUAUCUGGAGCUCAUAGGUGGGAGACAGCUAAUACAUACUUACAAGACAUUUAUUGCAUAGUCAAACCAUGGAUCCAGAAGAACAAGUCAAUAAGUCAAAUCAAGAUGUGCAUGUGUGGCGAAUGAAUGGUGCAUGGUAAUGAUGGUGAUAACAAUGGUGAAAGUCUAAUUCUACUAGUGCCCUCUUGAGGGGAUACAUACCUUUCUUCCUCGUUUGAAACUUUCAGGGAGAAUGAGAUGCUCUGUAUUUUCUUUUUCUUUCUUUUUCUUUUUUUUUCUUUUCUCUCAGGUGGGUAUCUUGUACCCCUAAUUCUACUGUCGGACACUUGUCCAUUUUUACCUCUCGUCUCACUUUUUCUUCUUCUUUUUUUUUCUUUCGAGGUUCCGGGCACUUGCCCCUUUUUAUUUCCUCGUAUUCUUCUUUUUUUUUCUCAUUUUUUCUUUAGAGCACUCAUCUCAUGAGAUAAUAUAGCAAGUGGUAGUAACAAGAUAACUUGAGCAUUUAUUUCAUAGGGAAAAAAAUAGAAAUAUUUUUGGCUAUUCUCUCCCGGAUUAGGAGUAGAAUAUUUUUGGGUGGUUCUGGAGAUGGAAAUGGGUAUAUGUGGAUGGUACUUUGUGGCAGAACCUCCUAAGUGUUUGGGCCCACCGACACCUGCCAUUGUCCUAAGGACCUCUGACGGUGAUGCCGGGAGUCCUCCCACUUUUAGAAGUCCGAUGAGCAUUGCUGGGCGCUCAUUCCACUGUUACCUGUGGCGUACCAAGCUGGCUCGUCCUGACCACUGGUAAUGGUCAAACAACGAGAACUGCUUCUUCUCGCCCUUACAGGAUAGCAAGUGGCCACCUUAACACCAGGAUCAUUCGUUGCGAAGAUAAAGCAGUAACUCAACGACACAAGACCAAAAUAACCUUUCAGAGUGAAACAGCGGAAGUAUUACAUAACUUAAUUUAUAAAAGGAGUUCUUCCAAAUAGUAGAGUGUUAUUACAAGCCUGGUCCAGCGGAGCAACAGAGACUUUAGUACAGACAGAACAAAUUUACAGACCCUGCCCAUGGGUCGCGCUCAUUCUUCUUCGUCGUCAACCUCGACGACGGUCACACAACAGGGUCCGAAACAAGUCGGCUCCUGAGCUUCACCUGCAACAGGGGUAUUGAAACCCUGAGUACGGGAGUACUCAACAAGACUUAUCCGACGGGAAAAGAGGAGAAUUUAGGGAUGCAGGCUUAGGGUAGACAAGGGGUGGCUGAGCAAGGAGCCAAAGUGUUUUGCGUAAAGCUUACUAGUAGUGCAUCCUUAUUUUCAAGUUUUACCCCGAAUUCCUCCCUCGCAGAGGCAGAGGAAUUCGAGGAUAGUCUAACUGGUUGUUCCCCAUAGACGAAUCCGUGAGUUCCUAGUCCUAUCAUUAAGUAUUAUUCAUCGAUGGCCAUAGCUUCAUGUCGCUAUGAGUCCGGGAAUUGGGAUCCGAACCUCAUAAGACAUUUUCCCCUUUCUCAUUUUAUCACUUAGUUGCAUAUUUAACUACGAUGAGGGUCGANNNNNNNNNNNNNNNNNNNNNNNNNNNNNNNNNNNNNNNNNNNNNNNNNNNNNNNNNNNNNNNNNNNNNNNNNNNNNNNNNNNNNNNNNNNNNNNNNNNNGCAAGUUCUACAGUUGGGACUAUAGCGGACAGUGCUAAUCUUGAUGCAAGAUAGAUGCACGGUCUGCAUGGAAUGUACCAUAUGCUUAGAAAUUAAUUUGGACACACCCGAUAGAACUCCUUGAUGAUGUGUGUCAUAUGGAAUCUCGCUUUGGUGUGCUUAGAGACAGUAUUAGUUUUGGUGCAAGAUAUCUGCACGGUUUGCGCCUAAUGUACCAAAGUCUAAGAAACCAUUUUUUAGCACCUGUUGGUACUCCUAGGUGAAGAGGCUCAUGUGGAGGCUCGGUUCGGUCUGUUUAGAGAGAGUGCUAAUCUUGAUGCAAGAUAGGUGCACGAUUUGCAUGGAACAUACCAUAUGCUCAGAAAUCAAUUUGGACGAACUAGAUCUAACUCCUAUGUGACAUCUGUCAUAUGGAAUCUCACUUCGGUCCGUUUAGAGACAGUGUUAGUUUCCAUGCAAGAUAGGUGCACGGUUUGCACCUAAUGCACCGUAGGAUAAGAAACCAUUUUGAACGCAUCUGAUGGUACUCCUAGGUCAAGGGGCUCAAGUGAAACCUCGGUUUGGUCUGUUUGGAGAUAGUGCUAAUCUUGAUGCAAGAUAGAUGCACGGUUUGCAUGGAACAUACGAUAUGCUCAGAAAUCAAUUAGGACGCACCUGAUAUAACUCCUUGAUGAUGUGUGUCAUAUGGAAUAUUGCUUCGGUUCGUUUAGAGACAGUGUUAGUUUUGGUAGAAGAUAUGUGCAUGGUUUACGCCUAAUGCACCAUAGGCUAAGAAACCAUUUUAGACGCACCCGAUGGUACUCGUAGUUGAAGAGGCUCAAGUGGAGGCUCGAUUUGGUUUGUUCGGAUAUAGUGCUAAUCUUGAUGCAAGAUAGUUGCACAGUUUGCAUGGAACGUAUCAUAUGUUAAGAAAUCAAUAUGGACGCACCCAAUGGAACUUCUAGAUGACGUGUGUCAUAUGGGAUCUCGCUUCGGUGUGUUUGGAGACAAUAUUAGUUUUGGUGCAAGAUAGGUGCAUAGUUUGUGCCUAAUGCACCAUAGUCUAAGAAACCAUUUUUGACGCACCUGUUUGUACUCCUAGAUGAAGAGGCUCAAGUGGAAGCUCGGUUUGAUAUGUUUGGAGAUAGUGCUAGUCUUGAUGCAAGAUAGGUGCAUGAUUUGCAAGGAACAUACCAUAUGCUUAGAAAUCAAUUUAGACGCACCCAAUGGAACUCCUAUAUGACGUGUGUCAUAUGGAAUCUUGCUUCUGUCCGUUUGUAGACAUCAUAAGUUUUAGUGCAAGAUAGGUGUACAGUUUGCACCUAAUGCACCAUAGUCUAAGAAACCAUUUUGGACACACUAUUUUUUACUCCUUGGUGAAGAGGCUCAAGUGGAAGCUUAGUUCGGUCAAUUUGGAGAUAGUGCUAAUCCUUAAGCAAGGUAGGUGCAUGGUUUGCAUGGAACAUACCAUAUGCUUGGAAAUCAAUUUGGAUGCACCCAAUGGAACUCCUUGAUGACGUGUGUCAUAUGGAAUCUCGCUUCGGUCCAUUUGAAGACAUUGUUAGUUUCGGCGCAAGAUAGGUGCACAGUUUGCACCUAAUGCACCAUAGUCUAAGAAACCGUUUUGGACGCACUUGUCGGUACUCCUAGGUAAAGGGGCUCAAGUGGAUGCUCGGUUCAGUCUGUUUGGAGAUAGUGCUAAUCUUGAUGCAAGAUAGAUGCACGGUUUGCAUGGAACAUGUCAAAUGCUUGGAAAUCAAUCUUGACGCACUUGAUGGAACUCCUAGAUGACGUGUGUCAUACGAAAUCUUGCUUCGGUCUGUUUGGAGACAGUGUUAGUUUUGGUGCAAGAUAGGUGCAAGGUUUGCACAUAAUGCAGCAUAGGCUAAGAAACUAUUUCGAAAUGGUUUGCAUGGAACAUACCUUAUGCUUCAAAAUCAUUUUGGAUGCACCCGAUGGAACUCAUUGAUGACGUGUGUCAUAUGGAAUCUCGCUUCGGUCCAUUUGGAGACAUUGUUAGUUUUGGUGCAAGAUAGGUGCACGGUUUGCAUGGAACAUACCAAAUGCUUGGAAAUCAAUCUGGACGCACAUGAUGGAACUCCUAGAUGACGUGUGUCAUACAAAAUCUUGUUGUGGUCUGUUUGGUGACAAUGUUAGUUUCAGUGCAAGAUAGAUGCAAGAUUUGCACAUAACGCAGCAUAGGCCUAGAAACUAUUUUGGACGCACUCGAUGGUACUCCUAGGUAAAAGGCUGAAGUGAAAGCUCGGUUUGGUCUAUUUGGAGAUAGUGCUAAUCUUGAUGCAAGAUAGAUGCACAGUCUGCAUGGAACGUCCAUAUGCUUAGAAAUUAAUUUGGACACACCCGAUAGAACUCCUUGAUGACGUGUGUCAUAUGGAAUCUCGCUUUGGUGUGCUUAGAGACAGUAUUAGUUUCGGUGCAAUAUAUGUGUACGGUUUGCGCCUAAUGCUCCUAAGUCUAAGAAACCAUUUUGGAAGCACCUGUUGGUACUCCUAGGUGAAGAGGCUCAAGUGGAGGCUCGGUCGGUCUGUUUAGAGAUAGUGCUAAUCUUGAUGCAAGAUAGGUGCACGAUUUGCAUGGAACAUACCAUAUGGAAUCUUGCUUUGGUGUGCUUAGAGAUAGUAUUAAUUUCGGUGCAAGAUAUGUGCACGGUUUGCGCCUAAUGCACCAAAGUCUAAGAAACCAUUUUGGAAGCACCUGUUGGUACUCCUAGGUGAAGAAGCUCAAGUGGAGGCUCAGUUCGGCCUGUUUAGAGAUAGUGCUAAUCUUGAUGCAAGAUAGGUGCACGAUUUGCAUGGAACAUACCAUAUGCUCAGAAAUCAAUUUGGACGCACCAGAUGGAACUCCUAGAUGACAUGUGUCAUAUGGAAUCUCACUUUAGUCCGUUUAGAGACAGUGUUAGUUUCGGUGCAAGAUAGGUGCACGGUUUGCACCUAAUGCACCAUAGGAUAAGAAACCAUUUUGGACACACCCGAUGGUACUCUUAGGUAAAUGGCUCAUGUGAAAGCUCGGUUUGGUCUAUUUGGAGAUAGUGCUAAUUUUGAUGCAAGAUAGUUGCACAGUUUGCUUGGAACGUAUGUUAAGAAAUCAGUUUAGACGCACCCAAUGGAACUCCUAGAUGACUUGUGUCAUAUGGAAUCUCGCUUCGGUUUGUUUGGAGACAAUGUUAGUUUCGGUGCAAGAUAGGAACAUAGUUUGUGCCUAAUGCAUCAUAUUCUAAUAAACCAUAUUUGAUGCACCUGUUUGUGCUCCUAGAUGAAGAGGCUCAAGUGGAAGCUCGGUUCGGUCUGUUUAGAGAUAGUGUUAAUCUUGAUGCAAGAUAGGUGCACGGUUUGCAUGGAACAUACCAUAUGCUUGGAAAUUAAUUUGGAUGCACCCGAUGGAACUCCUUGAUGACGUGUGUCAUAUAGAAUCUCGCUAUAGUCUAUUUAGAAAUAGUGUUAGUUUCGGUGCAAGAUAUGUGCAUGGUUUGCGCCUAAUGCACCAUACUCUAAGAAACCAUUUUGGAAGCACCUGUUGGUACUUCGGUGAAGAGGCUCAAGUGGAAGCUCCGUUUGAUCUGUUUGGAGAUAGUGCUAAUCUUGAUGCAAGAAAGGUGCAUGAUUUGCAAGGAACAAAGCAUAUGCUUAGAAAUCAAUUUGGACGCACCCAAUGGAACUCCUAGAUUACGUGUGUCAUAUGGAAUCUUGCUUCGGUCCGUUUGUAGACAGUUUGCGCCUAAUGCACCAUAGUCUAAAAAACAAUUUUGGACACACUAUUUGGUACUCCUGGGUGAAGAGGCUCAAGUGGAUGUUUUAUUUGGUCAGUUUGGAGAUAGUGCUAAUCCUUAUGCAAGGUAGGUGCAUGGUUUGCAUGGAACAUACCAUAUGUUUGGAUAUCAAUUUGGAUGCACCCAAUGGAACUCCUUGAUGACGUGUGUCAUAUGGAAUCUCGCUUUGGUCCAUUUGGAGACAUUGUUAGUUUCGGUACAAGAUAGGUGCACAGUUUGCACCUAUUGCUUCAUAGUCUAUGAAACCAUUUUGGACGCACUUGUUGGUACUCCUGGGUGAAUGGGCUCAAGUGGAUGCUCGGUGUGGCAGAACCUCCUCAGAGUGCUGGCUCCAUUGUACGUUAUACCAUUUGGUGGUUGUCCUUCGAGUAACUCUAGCUUUUUGAUCCAGUACUCGGAUAGGAUAUUCCGAAUAAGUUAGAUCUGGUUCAAGCUUUACAUCUUCAAUAUCUUGAACUCGAUCUGGUACCCGAAGACACUUUUUCAGUUGAGACACAUGGAACACAUUAUGUACCCCGGAUAAUCGUUCGGGCAGUUUAAGGCGGUAAGCGACUUGCCCACAUCGGUCAAUAAUUGGAAAUGGACCAAUGUAACGAGGCGCUAACUUGCCUUUAACACCAAAACGAUUUACUCCUUUCAUUGGGGAUACUUUCAAAUACACAUGAUCACCUGUGGCGAACUUUAAUGGUCGACGUCUUUUAUCAACGUAACUUUUCUGUCGGGACUGAGCAACUUUCAAGUUAUUUUGGAUUUGUUUCACUUUGUUUUCAGUCUCUUUCACUAAGUCAACUCCGAAGAACCAUCUUUCUCCAGGUUCCGACCAGUGUAACGGAGUUCGACAUCGGCGACCAUACAGUGCCUCAAAGGGAGCCAUUUUGAUACUCUCUUGAUAGCUAUUAUUGUAGGAAAAUUCUGCUAGAGGCAAGCAGUCAUCCCACUUAUCUGGAAAAUUCAGGGCACAAGAUCUUAAUAGAUCUUCUAGGGUUUGAUUUACCCUUUCAGUUUGCCCACCAGUUUGAGGGUGGUAGGCUGUGCUGUAUAAAAGCUUAGUGCCCAGGGACUCAUGUAAACAUUUCCAGAACUGGGAGACAAAUUGUGUGCCUCUAUCUGACACUAUUGUCUUUGGCACCCCAUGCAGACUUAGGAUACGGUCGAAAUAAAUCUUAGCAUAGGUGGAGGCAGGAUACAAUAGCUUUACCGGCAGAAAAUGUGCUGUUUUGGUGAGACGAUCUACUAUGACCCAAAUGGAAUCAAAGCCCUUGGCCGUCUUGGGCAAUCCUACUAUGAAAUCCAUACUUAUGUCAUCCCAUUUCCAUGCGGGGAUAGGCAAAGGUUGCAACUCCCCAGCGGAUUUGAGAUGAAUGGCUUUGACCUUUCGACAGGUGUCACAUUGGGCCACAUAGCGAGCUAUUUCUAUCUUCAUUUUUGUCCACCAAAACCUUUGCUUCAGGUCCUGAUACAUCUUAUUGCUUCCCGGAUGAAUGGAAUACCUCGUGGUAUGAGCUUCAUCCAGGAUUUGCUGACGUAGCUCAGGUACCUUUGGAACCACUAACCGGUUCUUAAACCAGACUACUCCCGCAUCAUCCACCUUAAAGUCUGUGGGUGCUCUGUUAGAAACCUUCUCUUUAAGAUGUCUCAUGCCUUUGUUUUCUUUUUGUGCCUUUAUGAUUUGAGCCUCGAGAUUGAAAUCAAUCUUUAGAUUGGAAAGGCUUCCUUGGGAAAUCAUUUCUAUUCCCAAGUUCUCUAGCUCUUGGCACAAAGUUAUAUCCCUAGGCGUCACUGUUAAACAAUUACAGUGAGCCUUACGACUGAGGGCAUCCGCCACUACAUUUGCCUUGCCAGGGUGAUAAUGCACCUCAAGGUCGUAAUCUUUAAUUAGUUCUAGCCACCUUCGCUGGCGCAUAUUAAGCUCAGCUUGAGUAAAGAUAUACUUCAAGCUUUUGUGAUCUGUAUAUAGAUGACAUGUGUUUCCCAACAAAUAAUGACGCCAGAUCUUUAAUGCAUGUACCACGGCGGCUAGUUCGAGAUCAUGGGUUGGGUAAUUCUCUUCAUGAGGUUUGAGUUGUCUGGAAGCAUAUGCAAUUACGCGACCCUCCUGCAUCAGCACACAGCCUAACCCGAUCCCUGAUGCGUCACAAUAUACAUCAAAGGGUUUUUCAAUAUCUGGCUGGGCUAGGACAGGUGCAGUUGUCAACAACCUUUUCAGAGUCUGAAAGGCUUGCUCACAUUGGGGUGACCAAACAAAUUUUGUUUGACUUUUGAGCAAGGUUGUGAUUGGUUUGGCGACUCUGGAAAAGUCCGGGAUGAAACGACGGUAAUAUCCCGCCAUGCCCAGAAAACUACGGACCUCAUGUACCGUAGUCGGGGGUUUCCAAUUCAACACAUCUUCUACCUUGCCUGGGUCUACAGCGACUCCUUCUGCUGAUAAUACAUGACCCAGGAAAUGGACUUCGUCCAGCCAGAACUCACAUUUGCUGAACUUGGCAUAUAGCUGAUGCUCCCUGAGACGGGUCAGCACGAUUCUCAAGUGUUCAGCAUGUUCCUUCUUAGUUUUGGAGUAAAUCAAGAUGUCAUCGAUGAAGACGACCACAAAUUUGUCUAGUUCUGGCAUGAAGACAGAGUUCAUCAGGUACAUAAAAUGGGCCGGUGCGUUAGUCAACCCAAAAGACAUCACCAAGUAUUCAUACAGCCCGUAACGGGUUGUGAAAGCAGUCUUGGGCACAUCUUCCGGCCUAAUUUUAAUUUGGUGGUACCCUGAUCUCAAAUCAAUUUUUGAGAACACUUUGGCCCCAGCUAGCUGGUCAAACAAUAAGUCAAUGCGGGGCAAAGGGUACUUGUUCUUAAUCGUCACCUCAUUCAGAGGACGAUAGUCGACACACAGCCUUAAUGUCUGAUCUUUCUUCUUCACAAACAAGGCUGGGCAACCCCAUGGAGAAGAACUGGGCUGAAUAAAACCCUUCUGCAACAACUCUUGUAAUUGGGUUUUUAAUUCAGCCAGCUCUUUCGGUGCCAUUCUGUAGGCCCUUCGAGAUAUUGGGGCCGUUCCUGGUUUCAAUUCUAUACUGAAUUGUACAUCCCGGUCCGGAGGCAGACCUGGUAAGUCUUCAGGAAAUACAUCCGGGAAAUCUCGAACUACCGGGAUAUCUUUAACUUCAGACACAUUUGCGGCAUGAACUUGCCCAAUUGUUCGUUUGGGAGUAACUAAUUGGAUUAGCAAAUAAGAAUUCUCAUUGGGCAAUGGGAUUUUAAUGGUUCGGUGCAAAGUGUCUAGCACAACCCCUCGUUGCGCCAUCCAGUUCAUGCCUAAGAUGACAUCCAUUUCUUGGUCCUUAAGAACAAUCAUGCUAGUAGGAAAAUUGUGCCCACCAAAUUCGAUGGGUACUUGGUGAACCAUUUCUUUAGACAUCAGCCGUCCUCCUGGCGACUGUAUAUAAAAAUGAUCUUGUGUUUCCCCAAUAGGUAUGCCAUGCUUUAACACAAAGGUGCGAUUGAUAAAUGUAUGGGAUGCACCAGAAUCAAAGAGCAUUAAAGCAGGAUGCUUCGCAACAGGAAACGUACCCAUCAUCACUGGUUCACCCUCUGGAAUUGUCUCCACUUCAGUAUGGAAGACUUGCCCUGUCUUCUUUACCGGUCUACCCUUUUGUAUCUGUUGCCCUUUUUGAACCCCAGUUCUGAACUGACCCGGCUGGGGUUGGCCCAUAGGUGGCCUUGGAAAGGUAGGGUUGGUUUGACGGGGAAAAGGGCACUCUUUAGAGAAAUGCCCAGGUUUACCACAAUUGAAGCAAGGGUAAUUGUGGCUGGGCGGAGCAGUAGGGCGAACACUCGGGGCGUUCGGCUGGCGUGGUGCAAAAGCGAUGGCAGUAGGUCGAGAAUAUACCUGCUGCCCGGGUCUGUACUGUGGAGGGGAGAAAGGACCACGAUAAGGUAACGGCGUUUGGAAACGUCCGUGGCCCUGUGGAUGAUAAAUGAUCCUCUGGCGCUUUUGACCGCGACCAAAGAAAGAAGAGGAAGCAGCCUUCUUCUUGGCUUCCUUAUGUUUCCUAUUCUUUUCCUCUGAGGCGAUAGCAAUAUUUACCGCCUCAUAGAAAGUAGCAUUUUGGCAAGUGGUCAUCAUGGUCUGAAGUUUAGUAUUUAGACCACGCAUGAAACAGGCUUUCCUCUUUCUGUCAGUGUUCACAUGAUCCGUGGCAUAUUGAGAGAGAUGAUUAAACCUUGCCACGUAUUCCAUAACACUUUUAUCGCCUUGCUGCAAGGCGAGAAACUCUUCGGCCUUCAUGGCCAUGAGCCCUUCGGGGAUGUAGUGGGCGCGGAACGCGUCCCUAAAUUCAGUCCAAGUGACUUGGUGUCCGGGAGCUUGAAUAGCUAAGAAGUUCUCCCACCAUGCACCUGCAGCUCCCCGAAGCUGCUGAGCUGCAAAUAAGGGUUUCUGAGUUUCUGAACACUGAAUCAAACUGAACUUAUGCUCCAUAGUUCGGAGCCAGUCAUCCGCUUCUAAAGGCUCAUCGGCCUUAGUGAACACCGGGGGCCUGGUCUCGGUGAAGUCCACAUACCGAGCCUCUCCGUCCCCGUUGCGCGGUGCCCUGAAGUUUGGAGCAGGGUGUGUUUGACGCUGUGCUAGCUCGCGCAGCAAGCGAGCGUUGUCAGUUGUGGCACUUAGCAGGACAGCAAUGGCGUCAGCCAAAGAAGGUGGAGCAGGUGGAGGGUUGGGGAUAUCAUCCCCUCCCUGGGAUGUCCCAGCCCCAUCGGAUCCGCGAGUACGCAUCGGCAUCUGUUACAAGAAUCGUAGAUACCUGUUACCACGUAAAAUUCAUAACACAGAACAUAUCUUACAUUCUUUCAUUCACUUAUUAAACAUUAGUUCAACACACCAAGAGUAAACAGGUUCAACUUCUCAAACCGAAAGAAAACUUAUAUUACAAACCCGAACCCCACUACGGCAAGCUAGGACUCCUACUACGACGUUGCCCUCGGUUUCACCGAACUAAUCGGUGUGGCCAGAGCUGUAGCCCGGGUCGUCAUUGCCAUCAUCUUGAUUACCCCCUGGGUUGUGGUCAUCGGGGUCGGACUCCUCUUCAUCACUGAGGCCUGGAUCGGGUUCUCCACCGUCUGCCAACUCGCCAUCUGUAUCCAUUUCUCCUUCGCCGGGAGGUGGGUGGAGUUGAUGAUACAGAUUAAAUGCAAUAUCACGAUACUGCAUAGCCAAGUCAUUGACUGUAUCCAAGUGAUGUGCCAGCUCCAGUUUCUCCAGCUGGAGCUGGUCCUCUCGUUGCCACGCGACAUCCCGUUGUGCGGUGACCGUGGCCACCAUCUUCACAUACAAAUCCUUAAGAUACUUUGCCUUGCCCAACUUUGCGUUCAUCCUAGUUAGCUCAUGCCUAUGGGUGCUCCUAGCUUCUUCCUCUCGGGCAAUGGCUGCAUUCCGCUCCUCCACCAUCCGGGACAACAUAGCUUCACAAUUUUCUGUAGCUUGUUUUGCUUUGGCCAGUUGAGCUUUAAGUUUGCCAAUCUCCAUAACGUUGUACAUUCUCUCUCUCAUCACCUCAGUCAACUCGGCGGACAACCUGUCCACCUCCUGCUGAGGCGGUGAACGACUACUACUGGCUUGAUCACUGCGUGGAGCUAGCUGAUGUCGGGGAACUCCUUUUGGACCGGUCCGCUUACGCGGGGUCUGCUUCUGACGAGCCAUCCUGUAGAGGGUAAGUUUAGAUUAGUAAGAGAGACCUUAAAGGUUAGCAAGAAUAGGAUUGAUUCUAUUCGCCCAACCCAACAAGGAGGAAGGAACUUAUCCAGUUAAUACAUCAUGAUGCAUGCACGAACUUACGAUUCCUACUAACAAUUCGUAACAACAGUACCUUAAAUUUUUACAACAUAGGGCAAUACUAUAGGUUGCUCCUCCAUACCACUUCAAAAAUUCUAAGAAAGCCUAUAGACAGGGGUAGAUUAGGACUAAGCACUUGGACUCAAAAUAGGCAGGUUCAUAAUAUUAGUUCCAAACGAAUUUUUGAAGUUUCUCAAAAGGUUCAGCAGUCAUCUUAGCAACGAAUGCUCUGAUACCAGCUGUGGCAGAACCUCCUAAGUGUUUGGGCCCACCGACACCUGCCAUUGUCCUAAGGACCUCUGACGGUGAUGCCGGGAGUCCUUCCACUUUAGAAGUCCGAUGAGCAUUGCUGGGCGCUCAUUCCACUGUUACCUGUGGCGUACCAAGCUGGCUCGUCCUGACCACUGGUAAUGGUCAAACAACGAGAACUGCUUCUUCUCGCCCUUACAGGAUAGCAAGUGGCCACCUUAACACCAGGAUCAUUCGUUGCGAAGAUAAAGCAGUAACUCAACGACACAAGACCAAAAUAAUCUUUCAGAGUGAAACAGCGGAAGUAUUACAUAACUUAAUUUAUAAAAGGAGUUCUUCCAAAUAGUAGAGUGUUAUUACAAGCCUGGUCCAGCGGAGCAACAGAGACUUUAGUACAGACAGAACAAAUUUACAGACCCUGCCCAUGGGUCGCGCUCAUUCUUCUUCGUCGUCAACCUCGACGACGGUCACACAACAGGGUCCGAAACAAGUCGGCUCCUGAGCUUCACCUGCAACAGGGGUAUUGAAACCCUGAGUACGGGAGUACUCAACAAGACUUAUCCGACGGGAAAAGAGGAGAAUUUAGGGAUGCAGGCUUAGGGUAGACAAGGGGUGGCUGAGCAAGGAGCCAAAGUGUUUUGCGUAAAGCUUACUAGUAGUGCAUCCUUAUUUUCAAGUUUUACCCCGAAUUCCUCCCUCGCAGAGGCAGAGGAAUUCGAGGAUAGUCUAACUGGUUGUUCCCCACAGACGAAUCCGUGAGUUCCUAGUCCUAUCAUUAAGUAUUAUUCAUCGAUGGCCAUAGCUUCAUGUCGCUAUGAGUCCGGGAAUUGGGAUCCGAACCUCAUAAGAUAUUUUCCCCUUUCUCAUUUUAUCACUUAGUUGCAUAUUUAACUACGAUGAGGGUCGAAGGAAUUGAGUCUCCCAAUCGGGGAGCAACGACGAUUCGAAUCGCUUAGCAAUCCAGCUGGAGUUCCUAACCACCCGACAUAUGUAGAACCAAAUCUUGCAUAUGUCAACCCAAAUCAAGCUCUCCCCAAAUCUGACCAGGUUCGCGGCACCCGAGAGCACAGUACUCCACCAUCCUACAGCCGAUCUAGAUGUUUUCCGAUCAUCUCAGAUCCGUAAGGUGGGUACAUACUACUCUCGCCAUCUUUCCACUCCCAGUGCGCGAGUAGCUGUUCGCAUCGAGGGAUCAUAAGACCGGGCUUACCGAAGGCAAGUGGCUAGUACUAUAAAUUCUCAACCCAGCAGGCCAUCAACGGACCGGUCCUUAACCGACACAGUUGGAGACACUACUUUAAGACUCCAUUCUUAAAGCAAGUCCACCGACCGGUCUCAAGUUAAAACAUCAUUGACCAUAAGUGCAUCCCACAACAACCCUUCAAACUUUCUUGUUUAAAAACCUAUCUAGUAGCAGGGUUAAGCAUCGCUACGCAGUUUUAAAAUAAAACAGGUGUCAAGGACAGGAUAAUAGAUAUCAAGGUAGUAAAUGCAACAAGUAGGUUAACCCAAUUCUUAACUACAUAAUGCAGCAUUUUCAAUUCAUAAGUGAUAAAAGAUUUAAAACAUCUAAGGAGGGGUUAAUGCAUCCGGGGCUUGCCUUGGUUGCAGGGCAGAGAGGGACCCUCGGAGACUUCCCAAGUCUCGGAUCCGACUUCCUCGAACGGAGCACCGACCUCGGGGUUCGGUUCAACGGGCGCUCCUUCGGUCACGGACACUAUACGCGAAAUGAUGAAUGCUUAUGAUAUGCGUAUGGCAAUUAUGCAAGAUGGACCGAAUUAAGUACGAUUUGCCUUUUUAAUGCAAUACAGAAUUGUCACUAAAUAAAGUUGUUUAACAAAUUACUGUUUUUACCCAAGAGAUUGCAUUAGUAAAUUAAAACUCCUUUUAAUUUCUAAUUAUCCUGAAUUAACUAAUUAUUAAUCCUAUUUACCUUAAUUAACUCUUAAUUAAUUACUAAUGACAGUAAUUAAGCAUUAGGGCUAAACAAUAAUUAAAUGCCAAAGGUCAUUAGGGUUAAUGACCUCAGGUUAUCACACAAUCCAAAAUCACUCAACCCUAAUUAUGAGGAUCUAAAUAAUCACUAUUUAAUUAUUUUGGAAUUAUUAUUUAAAUGCUAAAUAAGGGUUUAUUAAUAUUUUAAUCAAACAUUAUCCAAAUGCCACCAAAUUUUGUGCGGAGCCAGUGAAUACCACUCAGAGGCUCGCCACAAUUUUUGGUGAUUUUUGGACCUCCUAAUAAAUUACUAAAAUUCCUAGAAGUUUUAUUCACUAAUUAAAGAGCCAAUUUUUAUAGACAUGCAAACUAUCAGAGAAAUAAGUUCUAAUAUUUUUCCUAGGCUCUAUACCUUUCCUGGAACCUAUCCAAAAAGUUUCACUAUUUUUGGACCACUACACAAUUCAAUAUUUAACUUCAAAUAUCAAACAUUUUUAAACAAAAAGGAAAAAGAAAAAGUGCACUGUGCAGUGCUGGCGGCCUGCUCGGACCCGGCCCAAGACGGCCCGCGAGUUCUCCCGCGCGGACCGCGUGCGCUGCGGCCCCUCCUUCUCCCUCACGCGGACACUGACGGGCGGGACCCGCCCGUCAGGAGCGUCGCCUACCUCCCGCCACGGCUCCGGCGAGCUCAGGCUCAACGCCGGUGAGCUCCCGACUUCCGCAGUGAGGCGCGCUAGUUUCCCCGGUCCCUUGCGCACCUGCAGACCUUCUUUACACUCGCUCUCCCCCAUCCUAGCCCCUGCGGCUACGAGCAUGGCGGGUGGCCGCCUCGGCCGGGCACACACCGGUCGUUCCAAGCGAGUAGAGCGCAAGGUAAGCGGCGUAAGAGCAUCGGUAGCUCACCGUGACUUCAACGAAGCAAGAAUCAGCAGCGAAGAGGCGCGGAGUGACGCUGGCCACGGUGGCGUGCUCGCGGCGGCGCUCGGCCGGAGUUGUGGAAGGAAACAGCUCGGGUUGGGGUUACGGUAGGGUAGAGCGUGUGUUUGGGGGCGCAAUCGGUGGCGGGGCUCACGGCGGAGCUGCUGGGGUGCUCAGGUGGCUUGGAACGGCAGCGAGUGAGGCGAAUUGGAGAGGCGCAGGGAGCUCGUCGGCGAUGAAGUUCAAGGAAAAGAAAAGAAUGUCCCGGCCGACCGAGGCUUUAUCCACACGACGGCGCUUGCGAUGCGGAUGAGGAUGUCCACACGGAGCACAGCAGCAAGCAGCUGCGUGGCCAGCUGCGUGGCGUCGCGCGCGGAGGCGGUUCUGCCCCGGCGGCAGAGCACCCCCCCCUGCCGAUCACUGUAGCCGGCCUCAUCCACUCAGUUUGUCUUUUUGUGAAAUCCGACCAAAAUUUGAACUAAAGUCAAAUUUCCACCAAAACAAAAGUUGUGCCAAAUUUUGUAAGCUACAAAUCAUGUUCAGGUGUCCCAAGCUGAUUCUCAAUGGAUCAAGGGUAAUUUUGCCAAACAGUUUGAAAAUCAAACUCAAAUCAAAGAAAUUCCAAAUUUUUGAAUUGGGGCAAAACAGAAUUUCCAAAAUUACUUUUGAUUUUGCAUAACAACUUGAAAAACUCGCAACAUGAAAGUUGCUCAACUUUUUGUGCUCUACAACUUUCAUGUUGACCACUUUUCAAAAUUCCAAAUGGAUUUUGAAUUGGGUAUUUAAGUUGGAAAAGGGGACACUUUCUGGAAAUCUGUAUUUUCAAAAUUACUUUGAAUUUUGUAUUGAAACUUCAAAAACUCAAAACACCAAAGUUGUACAUCUUGCCAAGAGCUACAACUUUGCUUUUGAACUCAACCUCAAAUUGUGCUUAGUUUUUGACUUAAGCAAAAGGGGACAAAUCUAGGAUCCAGAAAUCAGGGUUUUCCCCCCCUGCUUCUCGGAAAACUUCCACCCUAGGGUUUUAGCAACCACACAAGCAACAACACACCACAAAAGCACACUCUACUUCCCUAAGCUCAAGCAAUCAAAGUAAACUUAUUUUAAGUUGAUGCAUACUAAGGUGCUUUAACAAUUAUGCUUUGCAAUGCUUAUGAUGACAUGAUCCGUUUUUUUGUAACCGUAACAUCAGGGAUGUUACAUACUUCCAGAGUAGAAGUAGCAUGUAUGAGUGAACGUGCAAGUGAAUCUUGACUUAACCACAUGACAAGCUCCUAAGGGUCUACACAGCUUGACCACACUCAAUGCUCAUAAGCAGUAAAAAGUAAAUGUGUGGCUCAAAGUCUAGCAAGCAUGUAUAUAUGGCUGUGGUAGGAAUUUAAACUCUCAUCAUACAGGAACUCAUCAUGCAGCAUUUUAAAGAUUUUCAAAGAUAAAAUUCUCUAGAAUUCUAGCAUCUCUAGGAACAGAUAAACAACAGCUCAACCUUCCCACAUCAUAUCCGUUAACGACUUAGACUUUAGAUCAAGUACUCUCCCCACAAGUUCAGGUUUAGAGCAAAUCUUAAUUAAUAACAGUCAUGCCUAAACUUGAGAGAGAUUUCAAUUUUGAGAACUAGUCAUGGUAGAGCGACUUUUCAUCAUUUCCAUUUGAGAGCUUAUCAUGAGGGUUCAUAGCAAACUUUAUUUAUUUAUUUAUCAAACUAAGCAAAGAUAUAUAUAUAUAUAUAUGCAUAUUAGAGUAAAGUAUAAACGAGCGUAGAAUACUUAGCUGGAUAAAUGGGGGUGCUCUCCCCCAAGCUAGAUUUGACGCAAUUUUUCCUGAUGUCGGCAGCACCCUGACAGUGAUUAGGAUGUCCUCCGUCUGCUAGUCUUCUCUGAUCCUUGAAUUCUGUGGAGCUCAAAUAGACAACAAAGCUUUGUGGAACUGGUUAAGUGUUAGCAUAAACACCUAGCCUUUAUCAUGUUGAGCCUCCUCAAUAAAUGUUACUCACUUUGGUAGGAUCAUAAAUUUAUUUUUAUAAUUUUAUUUUUAUAGGACAGGAAUAUAUUUAUUUUAUUUUUACGCCACCACAGUGAAUAUACUUAUGGGUUUUAUGCUAUGAGCAUACUCACAUGCGGCUUACUAUUUUUAACAUUUUUAUUUUCUUUUCAAGAUGAUAUGAACCUGAUUAACUAAGCAAACUAUUUUAAAUAAUUGAAAGGAAAAAGAUAACUACUAAGUUUACCUCUUGGCAAGGCGUUCGGUGUUUAUAAGUCCUCCGAACGGGACUCUCCGUUUUCUCAGUCAUCCUGGGAUUCACUGUAUGGCGUAGUCUGCCCAUCUGUCCUUGAUGAUUUGCCUUCUCUGGUUGCGGUUGCGUUGUCUUCUUCUUGUCUUGACCUGCUUAGAGUCUUCAACUAUAUAGUUAGGGUCAGUAAAAUAGUGGCGUACCUUUUCAGAGGGGAAGUGCAUGUGGACUUCUCCGGUUCCAAUGUAGAUGAUUACUUUAACGGUGCUGAGAAACGGUCUCCUAUGAAUGAUGGGUGGAUCGUACUUGUCUUCAACAUUUCGGAAUGUCUGAUCUGCCAUCUGAAGCUGAAUGUAUGUUGGUUGUAGGGACAUGGUUCCUUGCAGGAGCUGAUAAGUGACUGCGGCCAUUAUGUUGACGUUAGAUCCGGUGUCGUAGAGUGUCUUCUGAAAAGAAUAUCCGUUGAUUGUGCACUCGAUGCUUGGAACACCAGGGUCGUCCUUCUUGAUCAAUAAAGGUGACUUGAGUUGACGAUAUUGACCUCCUUGAGCUGCAGUGACCAUCUUAGCUGACUCGGUGCACAUUUGCUUGUUCCUGUUCCUCCUGUUGGUCCUCUUCCUUGGUUCAUGUCGGGAUUGCUCUGAGAUUUGAGUAGUCUUGUUCUUGAAGGAAAAUGCCUCCUUCCUUCCCUUGAUGUAGAAACUGAUCUUGGCAGCACUAGCGUAGAUGAUAGCUCCCGAGGUGUUCAAGAAUGGCCUCCCUAGGAUGAUGGGUGCCCUCUCAUCACUACCAGUCUCUAUCACCAUGAAGUCUGCUGGGUCGUACAAGGUACCAACUCGGACAUAGAGGUUCUUCAAUAUUCCCUUUGGGAAACUUAGCGUACGAUCUGCAAGCUGUAAACACUUGGUUGUUUCUAAUAAAGGAUGUGUAAAGAAUUUUUCAUAGAGUACCCUGGGCAUAAUGUUGACGCUGGAGCCAAAGUCGCAGAGUGCUUCUGGGAAGUUCACCAUGCCGAUGGAGAUCGGGAUGACGGUGCGUCCUGGAUCGCCUCCCUUGACCGGCAGAAGGUCAGUAAUUACUUCCACAACAGGGUUACUCCAGUAGUUACAUCCUCAAGCAUUUUAGGGCAGUGAUUGCCUGAGUGUCCAGUAUCUCCAGUGUGUUUGUGCUCGUAGAUCUAGGUUCUUCACUUGGUGGAGUCUGGGAGUUGUAAAACUCCUUCAUAUUUUGCUCAAAGUGUACCUGCUCAUAGAGACAAGGCAGAGAUCAAGUGCAUGGGCCCUGUUGGUGGAAAACACCAACAGAACCAAAAGUGUAUUUGCUCUUCUCUAUCCUUAAGCAUAGUGAGCAAGACAAAGUUGAUGGAUAAUAAGAUCAUGAGUGUAGCAUUUAAAACAUUUGUCAGAUCAAAUCACUCAACCUAAUGGAAAGAUAAUCUAUCUAUAUUUAUGUUAUUUUUUUAAAAAAAAUAUAUCUUCCAAAGAUUGAGUGUGCAACAUUUUAGCUCAUAUGAUUAGGAGUGUGGGAUCACAAAGGUGGAAGGACUAAACAUAUUGAAUCGAUUGGGUUGGUUAAUCUAGAGUUGUAAAUCAUACAUGUUUGUCUCUUUUAUUCAUGUGAACGCCAGAACCAAGGAGAAGAUUUAUAAAAGUGAUAGGUAAAUACCUUAAGAUGUUACCUUACUUGAAGAGUGAUGGUACAAUACUUGAAGAGUGAUGGUACAAUAUUACCUUAUGGAAGCUUUCCUUUCUUUGCGGUUGUGCAUCGUGUUGGUGGCACCCUCCAUGGAUCAUCUCUUGUGAGCUACGCAUUCCUUGUGUAAAUUGUUCACCUUCAUGUGUCUCUCUCUUUGUCUCCAAUGUGAGUUUAUCUCAGGACUUCCCAGGUCGAUAUUGAAAGUUUUCCUAUAGGGGUUAGUCCAACAAAAUAUCCAAUAUCUACUAUAGCAUACUAUCAGCUCAAAGAUCAACCUAGACACCAUGUCUAAUUUGAUUUAGGAGGGAAUUUUAACCUAAGCAUCAUGCUUAAUUUAAAAUCCUUUGGAAGUAAGAUCAUCAUUCCUAAACUAAGCACCAUGCUUAAUUAAGAGAUAAAUGAAACUACUCCAAACCUAGACAUAUACUAAAGCAAAUAAAGGUAGCAUGAAAGCAUUUAUAGAGAUCUACUCAAGUGGAGAUGAAGUAGUGUGAUUAGUAUUUAACAAAUUGAGCAUGUCUCAAAGGUAGGGACAACCAACAUAGCAACAUGGCAAAGGAUGUUUUUAUGUAAAGUACUCCCCCAAGCUUGAAUUUUGCAAAAUUCAAGUUUUUAUGAAUUUAAUUCAAUGUUGUAUGAUGAUUGGUUGGACAUACCUUGUGCUUGUCAUUCAUCCGAUCUUCUUGCUCCAAUCCUGGAAAGGUUAGUGACAAGAAUACCCGAAGGAAUAUUUUUACAAUUAUCCUUAUAUGCUCGAUACACAAGGUAAUGUUGCAAAUAAUUAAAAGCUCAUGUUACGAUCUGAUCAGUGCUUAUUUUAGGACACUAAGCUUGUCCUUGGGAAACCAUUAAUUUAUGUCAGCGAAGUGGUUUCCCCUCCAACGCUGACCUAUAUCAAGAUCAACUCAACGAGAUCUGCAAUAUUUAAUAUAGACAUAUGCAUCGACAACCACCCUUUUAAAGUUUUUAUAAAUAGAAAGGAUGAGGGGGUUGGAGAUCUCGAAUGUGGUGAUGUUGGAGAGACCAAUGGAUUGUGAAGAUGUUGCAUAUGAGCAUGGAGUAAAUGAAGUGGCUAUGAAAUAAAUUCCAUGCUCAUUAAUGCUUAGAGUGAAAUCCAUGUGGUACGGUGAAAAUGAUAAGGUGAGUGUGGUAAAAAAGAAAAAGAAAAAGGAUAGACGGACGACUUGGUUCGAAACUAGCACAGCUACCAUUCCCCGACAACGGCGCCAGAAAGCUUGUUGGGUAUUUUAAACGCAAAAAGAAAAAUCCGCAAGCGCACGGAUACCGAUGUAGCUUUCACCCGGGAGUAUUCCAGAGUAUCGAUUUUCCACAGAGAACGUGAGUGUACUAAUUAAGAUUCAAGAUCGCCCAAGGAUAACUAUAUGAUUAUUUUUGGUGGGAAGAGAGGAGGUUUCCUGAGAGUUCUCUAGUUGAUCUAAGAAUCAAGAAUUACUUCAAGAUAAUCUAUAUCGGGACAUCAGAGCACUAACCACGGAAAGAGAUGAGAAGGGGGCUAGGAAGGUCUGACUACGGUCCUACAAACACCGAUCCGAACGUGGUGGAAUACGUCGACCGUUAGGGCUGUCACUACCCUAAGGCUCUCAUAACAAUCCGCAGGAUUGGGUGCAAUUCCAGGUAAUCGCAAGACUAAACACCACGUCUAAUCUAUUAAUUACUACUCUAGCGUUAUAAAGACUAGAGCACUUGAUGCAAGCGGGAAUCCAAUAAAUAACUUGAAUGUAAAUAAAAGUAAUUAGAGAACUCAGGAAUUAUGAAUUGAAGAACCUGGAGAACGAUGAAGAACGAACCAGUUGCUGCAAAAGUACAAUGUUGAGGAAGAUCUGACAGAUCCGGCUCCUCCUCCGCUCUCCUCUUCUCUCUCCCUAUUUUCUAGAUUACAACUAGAACUAACUAGAACUAGAACUAGAGGAACUAGAACUAGAACUAGAUGAACUAGAACUAGAUCUAGAUGAACUAGAGGUAGAACUAGAAGAACUAGAGGGAUCCUCUCUACUUGGAUGAAGAAUUGAAACCCUAACUUUGAUUCUGUAGAAGAGGUAUGAUCUCCAGGGGCCAGGUGGUCUGGUUUUAUAGUCCCUUCAAGUGAAUCUGGGCCGUCGGAUCAAACCGACAUUAAUCGCACGGUUUUCCUUGAUCCUUUAGGUCGGUGGAGCAUAAUCCGCGAAACGUGUCCUGAUUGGGCACUGUAGCUGGGCGGGCGCCCAGAAGAGUUGGGCGGGCGCCCUGCCUCCGAGCCCGAUUGCCUUCCCGUUCGGUCCCGUGGCUUCUGGAGUCUUCUAGAUGAUAGAAAAUUGUGCAGCACAUUAAUAUCUCUAUGUAAACCCGACGUGUGGGCCUUUCUUCCGUAUUUCCUGAUAACCCCCUGCAGAACUAGACAAACACCAAAACUCGUGGAAUUCUGUUAGAUAAAACCCUAAGUCUAGGUGUUGCUUGCAUUCGGAUCCUUUUCUAUGAUUAGUUGAUGGUUAAAUGUGAGCAUUAAGGACCGUCAACAGUGCGCUGGUGGUUGGAUGAACCAUAGUGGGCUUCUUCUUCUGGGCGCCAUCCUUGAUGAUGCAGGAGCAGGCAGUCGACUUCAGGUGUGGGCUAAAGUCCUAGCUUGGUGGGAGAAAGGCUAUCGGUGCCUCGACUGCCGCCCGUGCUUCUUCCUCCACAAAGGAACUCUCUCUAAAGUGGACGAUGCCUAGGUUUGCGAAGGAGCCAGGCACUUGGAUCAUGGAGAGGGCGCAGCUAAACAUUCUUGCCUUGGAUCUUGCGAGAGCUUAGCACACUUGGUUAGAGGGAGAAGAGGAAGGUUUGGUGUGAAGAAUUGAGAGGCCUAGGGGCUGCUUAUGUAGGUUCUUCCGUGCACCUAAAUAAGUAAUCAAACUUGAUCGUAGGCGGUAACACGAUACUGGAGGGAUCAGAGGGAGGUACGAAAAAGAUUGGGGAUGAUUGGCUGGGCCAGGGGUGCGGCCGCACCCAGGUGCGCCCGAACACCCAGGGCGACCAGUCGGCCUCUGUUUUUUUUGCAGCUCGCGUUAUUUGUUUCCCUAAUCGUGAUCCCACGUACGAUCAAUGUUGAUUCGCAGUGUAUUGGUGGAAUGGUAAAGAGAAUAAUUUUUGAGUUUUGAACAAAACUUUCUAAAACUCAAGAGAUUGCACUAUCAUGCAUUUAUGAUGAGAAGAUGCUAUGAUCAAAACAGAUUUUAAACAAGAUAUACAAGAUCACAGGGGCAUUUUGGGUAAAACAUAAAUGCAUAGAUCAAGAGGCUUUAUUUAAAGUAAAAUAAAAACAACAACAAAAUAUAUAUUAUAUUAUUUUUUAACACAUUCCUUUGGUGUAUUCUUUAAAAGAAACUAAAUUUAUUUCAUCAAAGGAAUGCGGUUCAGGUUCGAGAAAUACCGUGAGACGUUGGCCAUUUACCUUAUGGAUGUUGCCACCGUCAUCCUUUAUUGUGACAGCUCCCUGUGGCGCCACCUUGAUCACUACGUAACGUCCGUCCCAUUUGCUCCUGAGCUUUCCUUUCCCAAACAAUUUGACUCUCGAGUUGAAGAGCAGGACUUUGUCGCCGAUCUUGAAUUCUUUAUAUAAGAUCUUUUUAUUGUGCCAUUUUUUUGUUCUUUCUUUGUGGAGCUUGGCACUGUGAUAGGCUUUUUCUUGCCAUUCUUCUAAUUCUGCGACUUGUCUUUGGCUUUUUCUUCCAGCGGCCUUGAUGUCCAUAUUCCAAGUCUUGAUUGCCCAGUGAGCUUUAUGUUCAAGCUCAACAGGCAAAUGAUAGCUUUUGCCAUAGACCAACUGAUAUGGUGACAUCCCGAUGGGAGUUUUGUAAGCUGUCCUGUAUGCCCAGAGUGCAUCAGGGAGCUUAUCUUUACAGCCCAUUCCCAUUUCGUUCACCGUUUUCUAGAGUAUGUUCUUGAUCUGCUUAUUGGAAGUUUCGGCAUGCCCGCUGGUUUGGGGAUGAUAAGGAGUAGCAACAUUGUGACGGGUGCCCAAAUCUCGCAAAAAUGUUCUGAAGGCUUUAUCAAUGAAGUGCGACCCUCCGUCACUUAUCACCAUUCUUGGUGUCCCUAAACGAGGAAAGAUGAUCUCGUGAAACAUCUUUCUUGCAUGCUUGGCAUGUGCUGCUCGACACGGUAAUGCUUCUACCCAUUUUGAUACGUAGUCAACUGCUACAAGGAUGUGCUCGCAGUCGCCUGAUUUCUUGAAUGGCCCCAUAAAGUCAAUUCCCCAUACGUCAAAAUUUUUGACUUGGGGACUGAAGUGUAGUGGCAUGGCGUUGCGUGCACCGAUGUUGCCUUGUAGCUGGCACUGAUGGCAUCUGUGGACGAACUUCUUCGUGUCUUGAUACAUUGUAGGCCAGUAGAAGCCGCACAUCUAGAUUUUGGACUGUGUGCGAAAUACUCCAUAGUGACCUCUGUAUGGUGAAGCGUGACACUUCUCGAUGAUUUGUGCACCCUCUGAGGUGGGCACACAUCUUCGUAGCAGUCCGUCAGCACCGACCCGAUAUAGGUAGGGGUCGUCCCACAGGUGGCGUCGACUUUCAUAUUCAAGCUUCUUCUUUGAUUCGCAUGGGGGUACGUACCCUGAAACCAUAAAGUUAAUAAUAUUUGCAUACCAUGGGUUCGUGUCGUUGAUCAUUAGGAGCAUGUCAUCGCGUAGGAAGUCGUUAAUCACCUAUUCUUGCAUGUUAGUGACUUGCAUACACGAAAGAUGAUAUGCAACAAUAUUUUCUACUCCUUUCUUAUCUUUUAUCUCAAUAUCAAACUCUUGUAACAAUAAGAUCCACUGGAGUAGACGAGGUUUAGCAUCCUUUUUGGUGAGCAAAUAUUUGAGAGCAGCAUGAUCCAUAUAAACAAUUAUCUUUGCUCCCACCAAAUGGGAUCUAAACUUAUCGAUAGCAAAUACUAUAGCGAGGAACUCUUUUUCAGUAGUGGCGUAGUUAAGCUGAGGUCCUGUCAAAGUCUUGCUAGCGUAAGCGAUCGCGUGAUGCUUUUUGUCCUUGGUUUGGCCGAGGACCGCCCCAACAGCAUAAUCACUGGCAUCACACAUGAUCUCAAAGGGUAGCGACCAAUCUGGAGGUUGGAUAAUGGGCGCUGAGAUGAGUGCCUUCUUUAUGGUUUCGAAAGAUCUUAAGCACUCAUCUGUGAACUCAAAGGGAACGUCUUUUGCUAAAAGGGCUGUCAGUGGCUAGGUGAUUUGUGAAAAAUCUUUGAUAAAUCGUCUAUAAAACCCGGCGUGGCCUAGAAAGCUGCGAAUUCCCUUGACGUUCAUAGGGGGAGGUAGUUGUUCUAUGACUUCUAUUUUUUACUUUAUCUACCUCGAUUCCCCAUUCAGACACUAAGUGUCCCAAAACAAUGCCUUCUCGGACCAUAAAGUGGCAUUUUCCCAAUUAAGUACCAGGUCCUUCUCUUGGCAUCUUUGCAAAACAUUGUCCAAAAUUUCAGGGCAAUGAUCGAAAGUUUUUCCAUAGACCGAAAAGUCGUCCAUGAAAUCUUCGAUGAUCUCCUCAAUCAUUUCAGAGAAAAUGGACAUCAUGCAUCUUUGGAAUGAGGUGGGUGCAUUGCACAACCUGAACGACAUUCUUCUGUAUGCAUACGUUCCAUAUGGGCAUGUGAACGUAGUUCUGCUUUGAUCAUCGGGGUGGAUGGGAAUUUGGUGAUAACCAGAAUACCCAUCAAGGAAAUAGAAAUUGGAGUGUUUCGGCAAUCAUUCCAACAUCUCAUCGAUGAAGGGCAAUGGGAAAUGAUCCUUUUUCGUUGUCGCAUUAAGUUUUCUGUAAUCAAUACACAUUCUCCAUCCUGUGACGGUACGCUGAGGGAUAUGGAUCUAUGAAACUCUAGAUAUGAAUUUUACAAAAUCAACACAGGAUCUGCAAAACAGUAAACCAGAGGUGUGGGGGAGAGAGACUGACAAGGGGACCCUCUGGUCAGCGGGACCCGCUUGCCAGCGACACAGAGACAGGGGAGACACUCGUCACCGGCGAAACUCGACGACGGUGAUGUCUCGCUCGGAUCCAAGGGCAUCUACGUGUUCCUCUCACCAAGGCAGAGUCGCUGAGGUGCGAAACCCUAACUCUACCGAGCUCUAGGGUGCUCGCUGGCGUGAAUGGCGGCUCGGCGGCGCUGCGGGCGAUACGCCGCCGUGCACAGCCGAUGCAGUCCCGGUUGAGGAUCACGCCGAGCAUCAGUGAGCCAAGGGAAAGUGGUAGGAACAAGAAUGGAGAGAAAUGGUGGAGCAGAGAGGCCUGGCCACGUCGCCGGUGAGCUCGGGCGGAACUCCGGCGAGGGAGAAUGGCUCGGAGCUCGGCAAUGCCGCCUUACCCGUGCUCGACAGUGGCCAAGGAGGUGACGUCGAGGUAGAGGAAGCUCUGGCGAAGCUUUUGGCGGGCUGGCUUGGCCAGAGACAGUGAGGGAUGCUCAGGCGAAGCUGCCGUUCCGUGGCGGAGCUCGCGGAGGCGAAAUGGAGAAGGGAGAGAGUGCUGAGGAGGCGAAAUGAGGACGGCCGAGGCUCGAGGUGGCGUCGUGGCGUCCAAGUGAAGGCGUCGGGGCUGACAAGUGGGGUCGCCGUCGACGAAAGGCCGCCACGGGUCGUCCACGCAUCGGUCGGCCGGUGACUGACGAAACUGAAUCACACGAUUUAGUCGUCGCCGACAGUGACUGAAACUCCAACUUCGUCGACGUUUUACUCUCAGCUCAUUUGGUGGUUUUGGCUCAAACUUGAUCCUUUGGGUAGAGCUACAUGAGAUCUACAAGUUUGCUUAUAGGAUCAAAGUCUAAACCGGCCAGGAUUUCCAUCUACAAAGCUCCCAAUCACCCUAUGUCGAAACUGUCGAUUCCCAGACUUAGCCAAAUUCGGCUAAGUGUAGAAACAGCACUGAUUUUUGGCUUGUGGGCAAGAUUUGAAUCUGUUCCAUUCUUUUUCAUGAAAAGUCAUCAACACAACUUUUGUAGCUUAUGAAAUUUACUACAACUUUGUUUUAGAUGUCAUUUACAUGCAGGGUCUCUAACACCAGUUUCAUAAAACAUCUUUGAAAUGAGGUCUAGGGGGUCAACUAGGUCAAUCUAAGGUUAACCAUGGCUUAGGGGCAUUUUUGGUCAAAACAUCCAACAUGAACUUUGUUCAAAAAGUUAUUCUAAACAUGACUAAAGUAUUUUGGAAGACAAUGUAUACUUUCAUGCAUUUGUCACCCAUUACAAUCAACCAUAGCAAGUCAUAUAGCAAUUCAAUCACAUAGUGUAUGUAACAAAUGGCAUGUGAUCAUGGUAUGAUGCUCAUGAGUGAUCAUGAUGAUGCUUAUGUUGAUGCAAUGCUCAUGGUUAACAUGCAAGCUAACACUAGAAGUGUUACAGAGGAUAUGUUGACACUAGCUAACACCACUUAGAUACUAGGUUGUCAUCCCCAGCAUGGUGCCAAAGUGUACAAAGGUAUUUAUAAAUGUAAAGGCUCUCUAGAAAAUAAUCUAUUCUAUCCGCAAGCACACAGAUAAAACACCUCAUUGUAGCAUUUCACCAGGAUAAGUAUUCCAGGUAUCGUUAUUUAUAAUUUUGCUCAAGGGAUCUAAGGAGAUUAAAUUAAGGGCAAAAUCUAUCAAGGCAUAGACUAGAGAUAAACUUGCAAGAACAUGAUUACUAAUGAGAAACUCGUCACACAGUCAAUUACUUUAGCAGGUGGUAAACCAUAAAGAUAAUGAUAAUGAAUUAUAAGUUCAAGGGAUAAAUAACACAGCGAUUAGAAAAUAGACUACUCCUCAUAUAUGUAGGUGAUGUCGGAUUAGCUGUCAUAAUCUACUCUAGUUGUCUACAAGAUCAUAUAUAGCAUAAAAGACUCUUCAUUCAUGUAUAAGGAACAUUGAUAAAGUAAAUCAGAGCAUCGCAUGACUUACUGCACAAUACCGGUUCUGCCUGUCCUAUCAACGGAGGGUAGACUAUAUAAGAAUCAACGAAGCUGUCACUAUCGUGAACUACCACACGACCCAGCCAAUAGGAUACAUUUGCAGAUAAAUAACAUCUAAGAACCAUGCUCACAUGUGAUCUAUCACCUAACUACCUCGCGUCAAGAGCUAAGCGCUUUGCAAACUUAUACAUAAACUCAUUAUCAAUUAGAACUAUAUCAAAUAUAGAACUAGAGCAAACUAAGAACAUAAUUAGAGACAUUAAUGCAAUUAGAACAAAGAAUUAGAGAAAGAUAUGAAUAAUACCAAUCUUUAUUACCGAAGAUCCGAAUCCAGAGCGUAGUGCUCUACUUCUCUAAUUGCUAUCUAAUCAAACCUCUAAACUUGAAGGAUUAGGGAGUAGCUAUUUCUAAUUCUCUGUGGGAGAGAAGCUCUAAACCCUAACUUUGAUGGCUACCUCUAAAUAAUGAUUUCUUCUCUUCUCCUCUCUCCUCCAGGGGCCACGGGGUCUGGUUUUAUAGUCCCCUCAAGUGAACGUGGGCCGUCAGAUCAAACCGACAUAGAUUGUAUGGUUUAGAUUGAUCCUUUAGGUCGGUGGAGUCUAGCCCCGAAGCAGAGUCCCGAUUGGACUCCUGGCCUGGGCGGGCGCCCAAGGGGGGUGGCGGGCGCCCUGCCCCCGAGCCCGAUUCCCUUCUCGUUCGUUCCCGUGGCUUCUGGAUUCUUCUAGAUUGAGGAAAAUUGCGCGGCACGUAAUUAUCUCAUUGUAAACAUGACAUGUGGGCCUUCUCUCCAUAUUCUCUGAUAACCCCCUACAGAAAUAGAUAAACACCAAAGCUCGUGGAAUUCUGUCAGAUAAAACCCUAAUUCUAGAUGUUUGUUUCAUAUUGAUCAUUUUCCAUAUUUAUUUGAUUAUUAAUUUUAGUACUUAAGGACCGUCAACAAACUCCCCCAAGCUUACCCUUUGCUCGUCCCUGAGCAACUAGCUGAACUCAGAUGGAUCAGGAGUUGCUUCGAUGUUUUCUUUCCUGACAGGCACACAUGCUUUUGCAUAAAAAUUCUUCCAGAUUAGAGUGAAGUGUUAUGGAGUUUAGUACCUGCACUUAAAUCUUAAGUGAUCGAAAGACAAAAUAAUUAAGUCAAGCACUAUUCCUCCUGUCUAUACUUCACCUUUGUUCCAGAGUUUUUCAUAAGUUUUCAAAAUAAAACUCAGAGUUCCCAGCAAUGAUUCUCUCAAGUCUCUCUAUAUGUAGUAUUUGUGGAUCAUUACCAAAAUGUCACUUACCUAUAGCUAAUGGAAUAUUUAAGUGGAGCUCAUAGGAGUGAAAAACAGCUCAUACAUAUGUUGUCUAAUCGAGCUAUGGAUCCAAAGGAACUCAGCAUAUAAUUAAAUCAAGAUGUGCAUGUGUGGUGGAGUAAAUGAUAGUGAUGAUAAAAAUGUAUAAGUAAUAAUAAAACUUGGUGCUCAUUGCUCCUCAUAUUGCUAUCUCUCCUCCUCUUUGAUCUUCGCUUUGGGAGAACAUGGGAUAUCUUUUCUUCUUUUUUUUUAGGUGGGUAGUAGAUACCCCUAAUUCUACUGUUGGACACUUGUCCAUUUUUUCCGCUCAAGUGGGCAUUUUUUGUACCCCUAAUUAUACUCCGGACACUUGUCCAUUUUUACCUCUCUUCUCACUCUUUUUCUUUUUCGAGGUUCCGGGCAAUUGCCCCUUUUUAUUUCCUCGCAUAUUUUUGCAUAACCCAUGCCUCUUCUGCAUUGAAUCUUUUUAGAGAGAGAGAAUAACAAUAUUUGGGACAGUGAGUGAUAAUAUUUUUUUAACAAUUUUAAUGAAUGGUGAUGGAUGGUGUAGUAGAUGUGUGCAAGUGAAUAUCUUAAUUUAACCACAUGAAAAGCUCCUAAGGGUCUACACAGCUUGAUCGAACUCAAUGUAAAUAUAGUAAAAGAUGUUAUAGCAAGUAUGGCUGUGGUAGGUAGUUUUGUUAUGCUAGGAACUCAUCAUGUGAUUUGUAAGUUUUCAAAAAUAAAUCUCCAGAACUUAGUGUAGUAGGAACAGGAUAAACAGUAGCUCAACUUUAUAUUAUGCCUUUCUCUUACCUAGACUUUAGUUUUAUGCUUCCCAAAGAUAGUAAUUUCAGUUUUAGUAAUUCCUGGAAGAACUCUAAUAUAAAAGCUAGGUACUUGUAAGUAAGCAAACAGAGCAACUAUUCAUCAUUUCCAUCAUGCAUCUUUUCGGUCUUUUUAUUUUUCUAGAGAUUAAGACUUAGCAGAUAAAUAAAGCACACUUAUCUACACACUCUUUUUAUUUUGUUUUCAUGUUUAUAGAAUGCAGUAAAUUAAAGCAAGAAAAUAUUUAUUGGGUUUUCUAAGUUUUUUCCUUUUUAACAUAAAAUACUAUAACAGAAAAGAAUAAAUAAGAAGAGCAAAUAAAAACUGACUUGAUAAAUUGGGGAGGAACUCCCCCAAGCUGGAUGUUGACGUCGGUCUUACCCGAUGUUCCAGAACUGCAUCAUGGUUGUGAUGUUGUCAUUCAUUGUUGUUGUAUCUUGUCUCAGCUCUUGUACUGCAGCGGCAUGGUCCUGGUUCCAUUUUUGUUGCUCUUCCAGGAGUCUUCCAUGUUCUGCUUGCGUGUUCUGGAUGUCGAGGAGGGUGUUGUCGUUACGGGUGAAGAAAGCACCGGCCUCUUGAUAGUAGUCAUUCGUGAAAGCGUAGGAGGCGUCGGAGUAUCGUCCUGCAUCAAAUUGGGGUGGAGGUCUAGAUCCUGAAGCUCCAUAUGGAUCAGUGGAGUACCUCCCCGUAUGGAAAGGCGGGUUUGUCCACUGGUGAUCUUGGCUCUCCGGCCAUGUCUCCUCUGUUGGCUCUUGUGGUUGCGCAUGUCGAACCCAUGGGUCUCGAAGGACUUGAGGGUUGUAAUCGCAAUAAUGCAGGUGCGCUACUUCUUCUGGUCUAGGGUCAGCUCCAUACCAGGUGCGUUCUCGAUGGGUGGUCAUCCUUUCAGAUGCCACUCACUGUGGAGCUCUCUGGUUCACUGGUGUUGCUGCAAUCUCAAUCAAAAGAUUUUGAACAACGUAGAGGCCAAGGUUCGGGUUAGGUAACCGAAUCUUGCCUUUAUCAUCAUAUAGCAUAUACAUUACAUUCCCCUCUUUCUUUAACAUCCGAGCUUGUCUAAAUGUGUCAUAGCCAUGGUAAAUUCUUAAUUCCUCUAUGAAAUCCAAUGAUGAGUUUUCUAGUAAGUGAAGAUUAAAAGCUAGACGAGUGAUAAGUGAAGUACAUCCUACUGGUCCCUGCAGACUAGGUAUACUAAGCCAAUGAGAAACUAAAAGUGUAACAGGUGAAGUAGGUACUUUAUUAAUAGCAGCAUAUAAAAGUUGUAAAUCUCCUACUCUUACUUUCCUAAUAUCAUUACGAUAGAAAAGAUUGUACCCAAGCCAUUUCUGGAACAUCCUAAGAGUGGGGUGUUCCAUGUCACUGGUUCGGGCUUGACUAUAAAAAUUAUCUCUAGAUAUUUCUCUCCAAAACUGGUGUCUCUCAAAAUUGGGUAAAUCGGAGUCAAUGUUCAGGAUGCAUCUUGAAGAGAAACCAAGAUGGUUGCUCAGCUCUCUCCAAGACAACAUAAUUUCCUGUUUGAACAUCCGAAAAACAAUUCCCCCCUCAUAGUAUUGUAAAGUGCAAAGAAAUUCGAGGGUGAGAAGAUGAGAACCCAGCUUAGUUAUGUUCCAAAAAUUUGUCCAACCUAACAUCUGGAAAAUUAAGUCAAAUUCAGUGUCCAUACCUGUUUCUUGCAGUAAGAUUGGAUCAAGAGUAGGGGUGUGAAUGAAAUCUUUGUUCUUCAGUUGCUGAUAUACUUCUUUCUCCCUUCAGAUCCUUAGUCCAAGGUCUCCUAUCUUGAAAAGGACCUUAACUUGCUGACCUGAUGAAGAUGACGGAGCUUGUGUGGGUGUCGGGUCGACGGUCAUCUCUGAUGGCUGUGAGGAGUGUCGGGCUGAACUCCUUGUACCAAUGUUCUUGAGAGCCUUUCCUGCACUCUUCACCUUCUUAAACAUCCUGCAAACAAAAGUUGGCAAAAACACAACUAGUGGAAAAUGUGAGAGAAAAUGUUAGUGGUUAGCUGUCCGGAAUAUCAGUAGUCCAGGGGUUAAUCAUUCAAGACAAGUUUCUAUUUUAGCAGAACCUCCCCCUAAACAACUUUUACUUCCGCUUAGACAGCGGGAUCACUUCUUGCUAGGUGAUACUCACUCUCUAUCAACUUCUUUUCCACUCUUCUCUUUCCCUCUACUCUCUUCUCUCUUUACUACAAGAGCUCUUUCUGGAAACUGAUACUUGUGUGGUUUCCUUGAGUGCUUGUGUGGAGAGGAUGGAGGUAGAAGGUGGCUAUUGUUGACGGUCCUUAAGUAUCAAAUUUAAUUAUCAAAUAAAUAAAGAAAAGGAUCCAAAUGAAAUCAAGAUCUAGACUUAGGGUUUUAUCUGACAGAAUUCCACGAGUUUUGGUGUUUGUCUAUUUCUGCAGGGGGUUAUCAGGAAAUACGGAAGAAAGGCCCACAUGUCAGGAUUACGUAAAGAUAUUAACGUGCUGCGCAAUUAUCUUACAUCUAGAAGACUCCAGAAGCCAUGAGACCGAAGCGGAGGCGAAUCGGGGCCAGAGGCAGGGCGCCCGCCCUGUCCUACUGGGCGCCCGCCCCCUGUUGGAGUCCAAACAGGACUCUGCUUUGCGGGAAGUCUCCACUGACCUAAAGGAUGAAUCUAAACCAUACAAUCUAUGUCGGUUUGAUCCAAGGGCCCAUAUUCACUUGAAGGGACUAUAAAACCAGACCCCCUGGCUCCUGGAGGAGAGAGCCUCUCAACCCUAAUUCAUUGUUCCAUCAAGGGAGAAGAAGCCUCUGAUCAAGAUUAGAGCCACCACAUCAAUUAGACAUCUAGAUUAGCAUAGCUACAUAGGAUUAGAACUAGAAGGAGUCAAUCUUCGAUUGGUUUCCGGAUCUGUCAGGAGGAUUCUUGGUAAUUCUCUAAUUGUGUUUCUAAUUACUUUCUAAUUAUCUUUGUUCUUCAAUAUUAUGAAUAUGACUUUGUUCUACUUCAAUAUAUUGCUUAUGACUUUGCUCUACUUGCUUAUAUUCAAGAUUAUAUUGUUCUUAGUUUAUCAUAGUCAUGUACUUGGCUUAGUUAGAUUCGAUCUAUAUACAUGCUUAGGAUCGUAUAGCGUUUAUCCAUCGGAUCCAUGGGUAAAUGAUAGAUAUUGUGUAGGCGUGGUGCUUAUACCGUAUUUAUCUGCGAUUGUACCCAAUAUGCCAGAUCGUGGGGUGGUUCGUGAUAGUGACAGCUUCAUUGAUUCUUAUAUAGUCCCCCUCUCGUGUAUUGGGCUGGCAGAGCAACAUUAUUACAGGGGAGUGAUUGCUAUGUUUCUCAUAUUCCUUGCAAAUAUCACUAUGCAUGGGCGUAGUCUUGUCUCACAAUGAUUGCUAAGUAUGCUUGCACUAACUAUGAUAAUGCUAGACUAUAUAGUUGAGAAUAACUUAGGGAAUAUUCUUGUAGUUCGUUCUAAUACCAUGCUAAUGACUUUCUACAGUAUCUAAUUGAGGUGCUUAUCAUAUUUAUUAUGUGGCUAGAUCAGAUUAGUUAUCCUUGUCACUAUUAUUAUUUCAUAUAUCUUUUAUGUGACACUUAUCCCUGUAUGAUGAGUUAGAUAUAAUGUUCUCAAUUAUACAUGCAAUGAUAGAUGCUCAAUCUCAUAUUCUAUUCUGUAGUCAAUAGUGAUGAUCGCUAAUCCCUUCCCAGUGGUAAAAAUAUAAAUAACGAUACCUGGAAUACUUCCCGGUUAAAAUGCUACAUCGGUAUUAAUCUGUGCGCUUGCAGAUCCCAUUCAUUAUUUAUUUAGAAGAGCAAUUGCAUAUUUCAAUACCGCGUCUCUUAUAUCAUGCUGGGGAUGACAACUUGGCUUAAGUGGUGUAAGGGAUAGGUUUGGCAUUUUUGGCACCGUUACUAGAUUUAGAGAACGUAGUCUAAUUUUAGUAAUGAUGUUAAGAAUACCCAACAAGCAUUUUUGGCGCCGUUGCCGGGGAAGGUUGAUUACCAAUCAGGAAUGGAAUAAAAGAUUUUGAGUUAUCAUUAACAUCACUAAUAUGAUUGAGCUUAUCUAUUCUCUCAUACAGUUUUACCCCGAAAUUUUUCUAUUUUAUCUUAUGCAGGGGGAUGUAUGAUUAGAAGACAUCUUCCAGGAAAUUUUGUUGACAAUCCCGAAGCAUUAUUCAAGAAGACGAGAGCCAAGCUAAAGAAAUCAUCAACACUUCACGAAGAAGCUUCAUCCAAUCAAGAAGAUCACCGGAACUUGUCUUCAGAGUUCGAAGCCAUGGCGAACAAAUCAAUCCGCGAGUUCUCAGCUCCCACUACGGACAACAUCCGCACUGGACCUGCUGCAGAGAUCGAUGGCAACUUUGAGCUCAAGCCUGGACUUAUCAACAUGGUGCAAUCCAACCAGUUCUGUGGGAAGGCACACGAAGAUGCUAGUGCUCAUUUACAACACUUCCUGGAGAUUUGCAACACAUUCACCAUAGCAGGAGUUUCCAAAGACGCUAUACUACUUCGCCUCUUCCCAUUCUCACUGUUAGGAAGAGCGAAGCAGUGGUUCUACGCUACAAAGGAGAAGAAUACUACGUGGGCACUCUGCUCAACGAACUUUCUGGCAAAGUUCUUUCCCAUGGGCAAGACCAAUGCUCUCCGUGGGAAGAUUACAAGUUUUCAGCAACAAAAUGAUGAAUCUGUUCCAGAAGCAUGGGAGCGCUUUCAAGACUACAUCCUAGAAUGUCCCCAUCAUGGAAUGGAGAGUUGGCUAUUGAUGCAGACAUUCUAUCAUGGGCUCAGCAACAGUGCCCGAGAGACCAUGGAUGCGGCAGCUGGAGGAGCAUUCUUAUCACUUACUAUACCACAAGCCACAGCUCUUGUAGAGAAGAUGGCGUCCAAUCAAAGCUGGAAUGAAGAGAGGACCCAGACACGCAAGAGAGGUGGAGGUAUACAUCAGCUGAAGGAGGUAGACAUGUUGUCUGCAAAGCUAGACCUACUCAUGAAGAAGCUCGAUGAUAGAGCUGGAGACAAGAAAGAAGUUAUGCACAUCUACGACUCUCACAUGACUUGUGAGGAGUGUGGAGACACUGGACACUCAGGCAACCACUGCCCUGAGAUGCUUGAGGAUGUGAACUACAUCAACAAUAACAACAACAACUACUACAACCGUCCUCAACAAAAUCAAGGUUGGAAUCAACAGAGGCCUAACUACUCAGGUAAUUAUCAAGGUAACAAUUCUUACAACAACAAUAAUAAUUUUCCGCCUUUGAGAGAGUUAGUGUCUAAUCAAGGAAAGCUAAUGGAUAAUCUAUCUAAGAAAUUGGCAUCUAAUGAUAAAAUGCUAGAAAAUAUAAAUAAUAGAAUGGAUAAUUUUUCUACUGCCAUCAAGAAUCAAAUUAGCUUUAAUAAAAUGAUUGAAUCUCAGUUAAAUCAAAUAGCUGUUGAUGUUCCUACUACUAACCCCGGUAUACCAUCACAACCGGAAGGAUUAGAAUCUGCAAAUCUUGUAGACAUGUUUGAUGCAGGUAAUUGGAGUAACCCCGUCAAUGAAUUCUCUACUGACCUUCUGCCGGUCAAGAGAGGUGUUGGGUAUUCUUAACAUCAUUACCAAAAGUAGACUAAGUUCUAAAUCUAGCAACGGUGCCAAAAAUGCCAAACCUAUCCCUCACACCACUUAAGCCAAGUUGUCAUCCCCAGCAUGACAUGAGAGACGUGGUAUUGAAAUAUGCAAUUGCUCUUCUAAAUAAAUAAUGAAUGGGAUCUCCAAGCGCACAGAUUAAUACCGAUGUAGCAUUUUAACCGGGAAGUAUUCCAGGUAUCGUUAUUUAUAUUUUUACCACUGGGAAGGGAUUAAUCAAUCAUCACUCUUGAUUACAGAAUAGAAUAUGAGAUUGAGCAUCUAUCAUUGCAUGUAUAAUUGAGAACAUUAUAUCUAACUCUUCAUACAGGGAUAAGUGUCACAUAAUAGAUAUAUGAAAUGAUAAUAGUGACAAGGAUAACAAAUCUGAUCUAGCCACAUAAUAAAUAUGAUAAGCACCUCAAUUAGAUACUCUAGAAAGUCAUUAGCAUGGUAUUAGAACGAACUACAAGAAUAUUCCCUAAGUUAUUCUUAACUAUAUAGUCUAGCAUAUCAUAGUUAGUGCAAGCAUACUUAGCAAUCAUUGCGAGACAAGACUACGCCCAUGCAUAGUGAUAUUAGCAAGGAAUAUGAGAAACAUAGCAAUCACUCCCCUGUAAUAAUGUUGCUCUGCCAGCCCAAUACACGAGAGGGGGACUAUAUAAGAAUCAAUGAAGCUGUCACUAUCACGAACUACCCCACGAUCUGGCAUAUUGGGUACAAUCGCAGAUAAAUACGGUAUAAGCACCACGCCUACACAAUAUCUAUCAUUUAUCCAUGGAUCCGAUGGAUAAACGCUAUACGAUCCUAAGCAUGUAUAUAGAUCGUAUCUAACUAAGCCAAGUACAUAACUAUGAUAAACUAAGAACAAUAUAAUCUUGAAUAUAAGCAAGUAGAGCAAAGUCAUAAGCAAUAUAUUGAAGUAGAACAAAGUCAUAUUCAUAAUAUUGAAGAACAAAGAUAAUUAGAAAGCAAUUAGAAGCACAAUUAGAGAAUUACCAAGAAUCCUCCUGACAGAUCCGGAAACCAGUCUAAGAUUGACUCCUUCUAGUUCUAAUCCUAUGUAGCUAUGCUAAUCUAGAUAUCUAAUUGAUGUGGUGGCUCUAAUCUUGAUUAGAGGCUUCUUCUCCCUUGAUGGAACAAUGAAUUAGGGUUGAGAGGCUCUCUCCUCCAGGGGCCAGGGGGUCUGGUUUUAUAGUCCCUUCAAGUGAAUAUGGGCCCUUGGAUCAAACCGACAUAGAUUGUAUGGUUUAGAUUCAUCCUUUAGGUCGGUGGAGACUUCCCGCAAAGCAGAGUCCUGAUUGGACUUAGGGGCAGGGCGGGCGCCCAGUUGGACAGGGCGGGCGCCCUGUCUCUGGCCCCGAUUCGCCUCCGCUUCGGUCUCGUGGCUUCUGGAGUCUUCUAGAUGUAAGAUAAUUGCACAGCACGUUAAUAUCUUUACGUAAUCCUGACAUGUGGGCCUUUCUUCCAUAUUUCCUGAUAACCCCCUGCAGAAAUAGACAAACACCAAAACUCGUGGAAUUCUAUCAGAUAAAAGCCUAAGUCUAGAUCUUGAUUUCAUUUGGAUCCUUUUCUUUAUUUAUUUGAUAAUUAAAUUUGAUACUUAAGGACCGUCAACAAACUCCCCCAAGCUUACCUCUUGCUCGUCCCUGAGCAAGGAUAGACUCAGCUAUGGAUCAGAAGUUGCUGCAAUAUCUUUAAAAAUUUGACGGUACACAUGCUCUUAAAUAAGAUCUCAUCUCNNNNNNNNNNNNNNNNNNNNNNNNNNNNNNNNNNNNNNNNNNNNNNNNNNNNNNNNNNNNNNNNNNNNNNNNNNNNNNNNNNNNNNNNNNNNNNNNNNNNNNNNNNNNNNNNNNNNNNNNNNNNNNNNNNNNNNNNNNNNNNNNNNNNNNNNNNNNNNNNNNNNNNNNNNNNNNNNNNNNNNNNNNNNNNNNNNNNNNNNNNNNNNNNNNNNNNNNNNNNNNNNNNNNNNNNNNNNNNNNNNNNNNNNNNNNNNNNNNNNNNNNNNNNNNNNNNNNNNNGAGAUGCUCUUCUUUUUCUUUUCUCUCAGGUGGGUAUCUUGCACCCCUAAUUCUACUGUCGGACACUUGUCCAUUUUUACCUCUCGUCUCACUUUUUCUUUUCUUUCGAGGUUCCGAGCACUUGCUCCUUUUUAUUUCCUCGUAUUAUUUUCUUCUUCUUCUUUUUUUUAGAGCACUCAUCUCUUCAGAUAAUAUAGCAAGUGGUAGUAACAAGAUAACUUGAGCAUUUAUUUCACAAGGGGAAAACAGAAAUAUUUUUGGUUAUUCUCUCCCGGAUUAGGAGUAGAAUAUUUUUUGGUGGUUCUAGAGAUGGAAAUGAGUGGAUGUAUGUGGAUGGUACUUCCGGAGUAGAAGUAGCAUAUAUGAGUGAACGUGCAAGUGAAAUCUUGAUUUAACCACAUGACAAGCUCCUAAGGGUCUACACAGCUUGACCAUACUCAAUGCUCAUAAGCAGUAAAUAGUAAAUGUGUGGCUCAAAGUCUAGCAAGCAUGUAUAUAUGGCUGUGGUAGAAAUUUAAGCUCUCAUCAUACAGGAACUCAUCAUGCAACAUUUUAAAGAUUUUCAAAGAUAAAUUCUCCAGAAUUCUAGCAUCUCUAGGAACAGAUAAACAGCAGCUCAACCUUCCUAUAUCGUAUCCGUUAACAACUUAGACUUCAGAUUAAGUUUUCAUCCCACAAGUUUAGGUCUAGGGCAAGCUUUAAAUUAUAACAGUUAUGUCUAAACUUGAGAGAGAACUUAAAAUGUGCAAAUUAGGCAGAGCAACUAUUCAUCAUAUCCAUGCUUAAGUUUUAUUAGAUACAGAUUAGCAUAGCCACUUUAUUUAUUAAUUAAACACACUAAGUAAUAUAUAUAUAUAAGCAUAAAAUCUUUAUUUGGUUUUCCCAUAGUUUAUGUGUAUUAAUAUUCUAAAAUAAUAUAAAUAUAAAGAUAGAUAGAUAGAAAUACUUAUCGAGAUAAAUGGGGGUGCUCUCCCCCAAGCUGAAUUUUGAUGUAAUUUCUCUUGAUGUAGCUAGCAGGUGGCAGAGGUGUAUUUGAAAGCAUUAUUCUGACAGCAAUUAGAAUGUCCUUCGUCUGCUAGUCUUCUUGAUUCUUAAAUUCUGUGGAGCUCAAAUAGACAACAAAGCUUGUGGAACUGAUUAAGUGUUAGCAUAAAUAUCUAGCCUUUAUCAUCUUGAGACUCCUUAAUAAUUAUUACUCCCUGUUUUUAUAUUUUUAUUUUAUAAAGCAGAAAAAUAUUUAUUUUAUUUUUAUGCCACCACAGUGAAUGUACGUAUGGGUUUUAUGCCACUCGUCUAUUCACAUGGGGCUUACUAUUUUUCACAUUUUUAUUUUCUUUUUAAGACAGUAUGAACAUGUUUAACUAAGUAAACUAUUUAAAAUAACUGAAAGGGAAAGGGUAACUACCAAGUUUACCUCUUGGCAAGGCGUUCGGUGUUUUUAAGUCCUCCGAACGGGACUCUCCAAUUUCUUAAUCGUCCUGAGGUUCGUUGGGUGGCGUAGUCGGUACUUCCGGCAGCGCCUCCUCUUCUUGUAUAGUUAUCUUCAUUUUCCACACCUGACUCGGUGCUUCAAUCUCCUCUGGAUAAUUCUGUUUAAACUCUAUGUCUUCUGACCUUACAACUUCUCCUUCAUAGUCUGCCCAUCCGUCCUUAAUGAUCUGCCUCCUCUGGUUGCGGUUGCGUCGUUUUCUUACCUGCUUAGAUUCUUCAAUGAUAUAGUUAGGGUCAGUAAAAUAACAGCGUACCUUCUCUGAGGGGAAGUGCAUAUGGACUUCUCCGGUUCCAAUGUAGAUAAUGGCUUUAACGGUGCUGAGGAACGGUCUUCCAAGGAUGAUGGGUGGAUCAUACUCGUCUUCUCCCAUGUCAACAACUUGAAAGUCUGUGUAGACAAAAUGAUCGUCUAUUUUGACUGGGACAUCAGAUACUAUUCCUUGAACUUCUCGAAAUGUCUAAUCUGCCAUCUGGAGCUGAAUGUAUGUUGGUCUUAGUGGCAUGGUCCCGAACAAGAGCCGAUAGGUGACUGCGGCCAUUAUGUUGACGCCCGAUCCGGUGUCACAAAUUGUCUUGUAGAAGUUGUAUCCAUUUAUGGAGCAGUAAAUGCUUGGCAUUCCUGGGUCGUCCUUCUUGGUC